UGUUCGUACAAACACAGAUCAUAUGGAACGAGAAAUAUGCUCUGGUCGGAAAGCAGAGUCGUGGACAAAAGUGAAGUUCACAAAUGACCAUCAUACAUAGGCCAUUGUUUCAACUUGUAGUUUAGGCCUUGCCGGACUCCUCGCAACCUGGUGGCCUGAAGGCGAUGAAGCUGACGCACUGCACCUGGCGCAGGUUGUCGAAGCCGAUGACACGGACAUAGGCAUCAGGGUACUCCUUCUUGACCUCCUCCACCUCGUUGAGCACCUGCGUGGCGUCGGUGCACCCGAACAUAGGCAGCUUCCACAUUGUCCAGUAUCGACCGUCGUAGUACCCGGGAGAGCUGUUGUGCUCACGGAAGACGAAGCCAACCUUGCUGAACUCGAGGCAGGGCACCCACUUGGAGCGGAUCAGGUAGUCUACCUGCUUUAGGAGGGCCUCUGUGGAGAGGGGUGGCAAGUAAGACAGGGUCUCGAACUUCUUGAUACCCUCAAUCGGCCACACCUGAAUGGAUGGAAAUUAUGGAAUGCACACAACUGCUUAACACUUGGUGCUAGUAAAUUGUACGUACUGAGGAAGAAACUCAUAUCAGUUUUGUGCCUCUGACAUACCUGCAUGCACCUGAUCCUUCCGCCAUUGCUGACGCGGCCGAGGCUGCCGCUGGAGCGGCGGCUGACGGGCAGACCGGCUGUGGACUUGAGCCCCUGGAAGGGUGCGACGGUGGUAGCCGACGAAGCCAUCACGGCGGGGGCCAUGGUAUUGUAUUAUCGGAGGAGAGGAGGAUGCCGGCUACAGGUGAGGCCCCCAUUGCCGGGUCACUACGGUAUAUAUAGCCAGACACUUAGCGCCGUUUCUUUGGUACAGAUGUGGUUGGGGUGGCUGACGUUCUCUGGUUGCCUCGUUUCCUUAUCUUCUCCGGAUCAGUGGAAGAAGCAUGGCCGUCGGAUGCAUUGUGUGUGCUGGAAAUUUCAGUCCUUCAUGUCAUUGGGUGGCUGCCACACAACCUUUUUCCAGCUUUUCUUGUUUUUGGUUUCAUUUGAAGCCAAAAGUUUCUUGAGUACAAAUUUUCUGAGAUGCGACUUGAGUGGUGGUGUGGGCAAAAUAUUUUACAUUUUAUCAUAAGAUCUGAUGGCUCACUCCCUUGAAAGUAUGCCUAUAGGCAUAGAGUGUGCGUGUGUGCAUUUAUAGGGGGUGUUAUACAUGCGCGUAUGCGAAUGUCUACUUUUGUACACCGUUUCUCAAAAUAAAAUAUAUGUUUUGUUGGUACAAUUAAUUGACCUAGCAUAGUAACCUCCACACGUAGAACAAGUUCUUUCCCCUCUCGCAAGGUAACUAUUGAAAGCUUUCCACCCCUCUAUAUCCGCCAGUGAGCCUGUGGAUCCGCCUCCCCUCUGCGGGAAGGGGGAUUCCUGGUGCCUCGGCUCUGGCUAAUAAACAAGUAGAAUUUUAGUCCUCAUGGGUGAGGUGCUUGGACGGAUGGCGGUCUUUCUUCUUCGAGCCAAUCUUUCGGGAUCCUAUCCUCUUCAAGUUCCUCUGUCGGGGGAGCUCCGACGUAGACUCCUGCCAGUUCCUCAGGCGGUGAGGUUAGGAUUUCUCAUCAUGCGUACGCACAAUGAGAUUUGGUGUCAGGUUCUUUAAAUCGAUUCAGGGAUUCAACAGCGAUGGCUGCGGCUCCGGAGCACUGGUCCUUAGGGGCAUGUGCAUGGAGACUUCCUGACUGUCAUCGACAAAGUCAAGGUAGCUCUAGAGUGGGAGCAACGACAACGGUGCAUUAGUGGCUUGUCUCUGUGCGUAGGAACGAAAAGAAAGCCCUAUAUCUCAAAUUUUUGACAACUCUCCGUGACAAUGGGCAUAACUUAUUUUAAACAUCAGUGGGUAGGAACAAAAAGCUCUAUAUGUCAACUAUUAACAUGUAUGGCUAAAUAUGUACCUUGCAUUAUAGGAUAUGGCAAUCGAUCAAAAAGGUGGGCAGUCUCUCACGUAACAUUGUCUCUCAAGUAGGGCUGCAAAUGAGUCGAGUUCGAGCGAGUUGGACUUGCCUCAGCUCAACUCAUAUUAAAAUUCGAGCGAGCUCAAACUGAGUGAAGCUCAAGGUCAAGUUGUAGAACGUGACUCAUGCUUAACUUGUAAGAUCUUGAGUCGAUCUCGAGCUAGUUUCGAGUUAAAUGAGAUGAUAAAAUCUAUUAAAUUUAUGACUAUUAUUCCAACUAGAUAAGCACAACACGACAUAAAAAGGCACAAAAAAUAUUUUUUCAAUCAGAACAAUGAUAAUACAAUUUUCUUUUGAAAUGAUACAAAUUUUGUUAGAAGUAGUUUAACUUAUUCUAUCACAACCGAAAGUCUAGUAUCAACUAAGAUAACGAUUCACGAAGGUGCAUAUGCUAGGAACUUUUAGCAGAAACAACAGAAUAUUUAACACAUGACCGACCAUGUACCAUAAAAAAGCCUAAAUUUUCUCUACAACUAAUUAAGCUUCGAUGUCUGUUUGUAAACAAAAUGGUGAAAAAUCCAGGAUGACACAUAUGGUAUUAAAUUAUCGUAUUUUCAUUUAUUAUAUGGAAUGAUCAUUUAACAUAAUGAUAUUAGGCCGAGCUAUCGAGCUAAAAUCGAGCGAGCCAGUAUUGGCUCAAGAUCGGCCCAUUUCUUGAAUGAGCUAUAGAAAGUGUUCGUACUCAACUCGUUUCUUUUCAAGUUGAGUCAAAAAACGAGUUGAUCUCGAGCCGCUAUCGAGCCUCAAGCUUUUCUUACAACCUUACUUUCAAGCAGUGUCAUGUUGACACAACUCAAUCAUCCUACUUCUCAUCCCAUAUCAGCGGCGGAUAACGAAAAGACAUUAAUAUCAAAAGGCCUGGACCGAAGGUAAUAAGUUCUAUGGACAACCGCGAUCCCUAGAAUAAUUAUGUUCCUCUCAUGAUAUUGAUGCCCUGUCACCUGGAGGUCUCUCGAUUUGCACGCCUCUCUCCCAUAGCCAACGAUUACUCAAAUAACAUCACAUAUAAAAGAGUUUAAGAGUUGUUACAACCCAUUAGGGAGACCGUGAUGGGGGGACGAGAAGGGGUAUGGGUGAGGACGGAGUGGCGACGGCAGCGCUUCUCCGGCAUUGCCUCCUUCAAGGUUGCAAUGAUAGAGAUGGAGGCUUGGCACAACCCUCAAGUGUUUUUUGAUAUCGAUGGAGCUGGACGUAUGGAUUGUGUCCCCGAGUGGCUAGGGUUGGAGGUGUAUUUAUAAGAACUCUCCAAAGCCUCCUUCGUUGAUGUAGCAUCUCUACUUUGCUCCAAGUGCUCUAGGUGAGCCCAAUCUUUUCCAAAACAUCCCUUGAUGGCAAAGAAAGUAGUAGGAACAUACCGGGACAAAAUCCUUGAGGAAUCCCCGUCUGAAAGGGCAGCUUCUCAUUUUUUUAUGCAUCAAAGGUUGUCAAACGCUUUAGACUCUUUGGUAAAAUCGCCGCAACUUUUACAUCCGAACUCUGUUUUUGACGUUCAUGUGCUCGUUGGAAUGACGAUUACGGCGCCGAUGCACUUGUGGUAUUAGAUAUUGAUUUUGAGCACUUUGGAAAACAACUUUUUUCACUCUCUGAAAUGCCCAAGUCUGGUGUCUCGAUGUCCUUCGUUUGGAUCCUUUUCAUCGUGUUAAGUGAGUGAGAGUUCCACAUUACGUACAAACACACAAAGAAAGAUAAUACUGAUAUGAACAAAUAAAGAAUAAAUAUUAUGCAAUGCUCGCGUUGAAAAUGUUAAAUACUGGAGAUCAUGCAUAUGGGCAUGUAAUUGGCUCAAUGGCACAUGAUAUAUGGAGAUAAUAGGUGACAAAUGAGCUCUAAACGUGCGUAAAAGUAGGAGCUAUCACUUGGAUCAAUUAGAUACUAUCUUGUGGAACACCUUACAUCCUUUUGAAUGGUGUACCUAGUAGGCAAUUCCAAUGAAAACAUGGGAUUCACCAGGGUGACACACCGUUACCACUUCUAUUUUUCUUGGCAGUGGAUUUACUUCAAUCUAUCCUUAGUGACAUGUAUCAUCGCGGGAGCUCUUUUUUCCAAUCCCAUCUCAUGAUCUAAACUCUCCAAUUGUGUAGUAUGUUAAUGAUAUGUUGUUGAUUAUGCCGGAUAUUGAUUCUCAGCUUCUUGACCUAAAAGAAAUGCUACAACUUUUGUCUAAAUCCACUUGCUUGAAAGUGAAUUUUGGUAAAUCCUCCAUGGUUCUUAUAAAUGUGAUUGACGAUGAAGCUUCUCAUUGGCCAGUUUGUUUGAGUGUCAACAGGGUAAGAUGCCUUUCACUUACCUGGUUUACCUAUGGGUAUCACUAGGCUCAAGAUCUAGGACUUAAUGCCUUUGGUUGAUAUAAUGAAAAGGAAAUUGGCAGCUAGCUCUUCUCUGCUCUCACAAGGUGCUAAAUUAAAACUUUUGAGGUCUACCAUUUCAUCUAUACCGACAUACUAUCUUUGUAGUCUCUAGAGUCUAGACCCCCCUUGGUAUAAUUAAACAACUGGAGAGAAUUGAGCAGAAUAUCUCUGGCGUGGCAAUGCUGAUAGCUCAAAUCAACCAUUCGUGAUAUGUCAUCUGGUAUGUAAAUCAAAGGAGAAUGGUGGUAUUGGUAUCAUUAACCGUCAUAUUCAAGACCAACCUUUGCUUACAAAACACUUGCACAAAUUUUAUAAUAAAGUUCAUAUUCCAUGGGUAACUUUGAUAUAUAUUUCUUACUAUCAUGGAGUCAUACCUGAUGUAACAGUCCUUCGUGGUUUUUUUCCGGUGGAGGGAUAUUUUGGAACUUAACGAUCAGUACAUGACAAUCUCUUCAAUCAAAGUUAAUAUUGGCAACUUUGCCCUGUUCUUGUCUGAUGCCUGGUUGAUUGAGGGGUCUUCUCUACCUCUUCGACAUCGUUUGGAAAGGCUCUUUUCAUUGCCUUCUAUGACAAUAAUUCUGUAAGAUUUUACAGAAACCCCUCAUUAGGCCACUCUUUUGCACCUGCCAAUUUCUGCUGAGGCGAUGGAUGAAUUGUAACCUCCGGAUGGUUGGUUACAUAGCCUUAAGGGAAACCCAACCCUGUCUGAUGUUUGUUCUUGGUAAGGAGAAUCAUUUUCCGCCAAAAGCUUCUACUGCAUGAUGCACAAGCACAUGCCCACCGAUGAACCUUGCAAAUGGAUAUGACAGAGCACCAUGAAGAUCAAGAUCUUUGCUUAGAUCCUAUUAUUUUAUCGGUUGAACGCUCGGAAAUUGCUUCUUAGAAGGCACUGACAUUCUGCUCGGAUUGAAACCCAUUGUGCUCACAUGAGCGAAGAGACCACUUGUUUUUCUCCUAUAAUUUUAGUCAAAGAAUUUGGACUUAUUUACAGAUUGAUUGGAGCCCCAGAUGAAACACUAGAUAAUGUAUUGAUGUUGCAUGUAGAUGACGUUUUUUCGUGAAUACACUAAGCAACGUAUCAUUUCAUUGAUAGGUGGAAAGAAAGAGUAUAGGGUGCAGCUCUCACGGGCAUACAUGCAAUGGCGUCCGUGAGAGUGCAGAGCGAGCAGCGGAGGAGGAUGAUCAGCCUCGAUGCCGCAUGGUCAGGUUACAGGGAUGAUUCUAUGUAAUCCUCGAUCGUCGUCCUUGGCCCACCGACGCGCGUCGUCCUUGAUUAGCUGCCCAAGGUCAUCUGUGGAGGGUCCGGCACCGUUGACAAUGGCCGCAUUUCGAUGUUUCCAGAUAGCCCAAGUGGUGAGAGCGAUAAUGAAGUUUAGGCCUCGUCUGAGGCUAUCCGGGGAUGCUGCCGUGGCCUGGAGCCAACAGUCGAAGAAGAUGGUCGAGCCUAGUAUGGGUGGUGUAACCAGCCAACACCAAGAAAGAAUCUCAUGCCAAGUGAACCACGAGAUGACACAACUAGUGAGGAGAUGGUCGAUAGUCUCUAGCUCCUGGGAACAGGAGAUGCACUCUGGAUCGUGCGGGAGGCCGUGCCUUGCACGACGCUUCGCAGUCUAGCACCGAUCGAGGAAUACGAGCCAAAGGAAGAAUUUGUUGGUAAGAGGGGCCCAGCCCUUCCAGAUCAAACGCCAAGCGGGCGGGGAGGUUGAUCCAAAGAAGAGCGCCUUGUAGCAGGAUUUGACGGAGUAGAUACCACUAGCAUUCCAUUUCCAACUGAUUUGGUCCGGGGCAUGACUGAGUUGGAUGCCCUGAAGAUGACGCCAGAGAUCGAUGUAUUGGACCACUUUGAUGGGACCUAGAUUGCAGUGGAUAUCGUGAAUCCACGCUUGCUGGUGAAGGCCAUCAGAAACCAGGGUGCGGCGGUGCCGAUGUCGCGGCACAAGAGCAAGCAGUGCCAGAGCGAGCUUAGAGAUGGUGUCGGUUCUAUAUCCGGCAUAUCUCGUAGUAGGGGUCCUAAGCUAGGCGUCUUGGAGCGAUGGUAACACGGACACAUGGUUUUACCCAGGUUCAGGCUCUCUCGAAGAGAUAAUACCCUACGUCUUGCUUUUGAUUGUAUUCAUAUGGGGGAUAGUACAUAGUACAUGUGUCUACCACGAGAUUGUUCUAAUGAACAUAAGUUGAUCUAAUGACUAGCCUGGCCUCGGUUUAUACAACACACCGGAGGCCUAGGGUUUAGAGGAGUCCUCGUCUUGUGCACCAAAUCUUGUGUAAACCUCCUUGUAUGCGGCAUGGGCUGCCCGAAGUGGCCCAUUAGUACACCGCCAUGGGGGCCCUCGGCACGAUCCAGCUGGUCGAGAGACGACGUGGUGAGUCCCCCCCCCCCGAGUCCAGGACACUGUCAAAUGGCCCUCCCGUCGAGCCAAUGGUUGCACCAGAAACGACAAGUUUUGUCGUCGCCGAGGGUCCAAGUGGUCGACGCACGGAAGAACUGCCUGGUCUCAUCAUCACAAGGCACCUCAAGAUGGUGCCAAGGGAGGGAGGGGUCAGUGGUCUGCAGCCACAGCCAUCGGGCAUGCAAGGAGAUACUGGUGAGGUGGAGAUCGCGCACGCCAAGCCCACCAUACUCCAGCGGGCGACAUACGCGCCUCCAAUUAACAAGGCAACAGCCGGACUUGGCAUCCUUCCUAGCAUGCAAUAGGAAGUCACGAAUGAUCUGGGUGAUUUUCUUGAGGAUCAUUGGGUUGAUGACCAUGAAGAGGAGAAUUUGGACAGGUAUAGCAGACAGGACAUGCCGCACGAGGGCGAGUCGCUCGGUGCGUGAGAGAAGCGAGGCUUUCCAGGUGGCGAGUUUCUUGGUAAGUUUUUCCAACAGUGGGAGGAGCGCCGAUGUGGGAGUCUUGCGGACCGAGAGGGGAAUUGAUGUGGACCAGAUCAUGACCAAGGCAUCCAAGAGUAAGGUUAAUGCUAGCACAAAUGCUGAACCAUUCGAGCAUCUAAAUGAAGACAAGGUCAAAACCAUUAUCUUUGUUGGGAAGCUUCCGGUGCCUAUUUUGGGAGAAAUGACACAUCAGAUUUCCAGCAGCAACUUCCCACCUAAACCUAAUUAAUUCUGGAAGUCUCUAGCACUUUAUAGAGGCUGGAAGAUAUGGUCUUAGAAGUCAGCUUUCAUUUAAAAAAAAUUGUGCAUCAUUUGAGGUCUUGAGUCAAAAGUUGUGCAAGUUUCCAUGCAAGCUGUCCAGGAAUUUAUUACAGCGCGAGGCUCAACAAGUUUGCUCCUGCUACAGCUUCGGGCUCACGAAUUUACCCUUCUUUUUGAGUUGUUUUCACACCUAACUAGUGGGUGCUUCUAGUAUAAAUACUCCCUAGCUGUUCCAUGUGAGGGGGGAUGAGAUUUCUGAGUUUAUGUUUGUAGACAGCCGGUGAGGUUGUGUUGUGCUGUGAGCACUAGUAUCGUCGAGUGUUAGCUCGUGUGUGUGGAUUGGAGGGCCUGUCCUCAAUUCAUAUAGGAUCCUUGUGGUUCCCUCUUGUGAUUCUUCAUAGGUUCACAAGCUUCAUGGUUUGGGUUGCAUCCUUGUAAACCCAGCUAGUUGUCCGCUGCAAUUUAUCUGAGAGUGUUUCCUCUUGUUCUUCCCCCUUGAGAGAAAUAAAGUUUGUUGAAACAAGUAUCGAGUGAGUUUGUUGCUGCUCCUUGUGAGUUCUUUGGCACCGUGAAAGAUCGUUUCUGAGGCAUCCCACAUCAUCUUGGCAUCAGAGCUUUAGGUUGUUCGCGGUGCAAUUUUUUAUCUUGCUGAUUUUGUUCUUGAGAAGCUUCCAUGGGUUCAAGGAGAUCCAGCAGUGUUGAUGGUGUGCAUGGAGGUGCCGGCACCUCGUGGAGGAGGAGCUGCCACUCCCCGUAUAUGAUCCAAGCUUGCAGCCCGCCUAUGUGUUGGCAUUGGAGAAUACACGAGAGUAUGUGUUGAACAAGGUGGAGAGGCGCAUAUCGGCCGUGGAGACCAACCUUGGCCAGAUAAUCGACUCCCUCACCGAGGAACUCCGUCGAGAUAGGCUUGCUGUACGGGGUCGACAUUGACAAAUCCCCAAACAGCAGGGCCAACGCCACCUUGAGGAGGAGCAUGGAGAGCACAACCACGUCUACUCGGGUGAUGCUCAUAGCUACUACGCUGCACCACCUCGGCGUGCUUGCUAUGACCAGCGAGGUGCUACUUGGGCACCACUGUCACCACCAUGAGAUGGGCUUGUGGAACGGGUUCGACAUCGACAACUCCCCAUACAGCAGGACCACCAUGGAGAGCAUUGGAGCGACCACUCCGAUGAUGCUCGAAACUACUACGAGCCUCAACCAUGACGUGUUCAUCAUGAUCAUCGCGGAGAAGGCCAAGAAGGCUUUGCCAUGGGAGGAAGAGGUCAUGGGCGUGCUCAUCGUGACCAUGAAGAUGAUGGGAUUGGUAAAUUCAAACUUACCAUACCAUCGUUCAAUGGGAAAACCGAGACCGAUGAUUAUUUGGAGUGGGAGAUGCGUGUGGAUUAGAUUUUUGACAACCACCGCUAUACGGAGGAGAAGAAGGUACGAUAUGCAUCCAUUGAGUUUACUGGAUAUGCUUUGAUUUGGUGGAACCAAUUGUGUCGUGCUGGAGGUCGUCCAGAGACAUGGGUGCAAAUGAAAGAUCUGUUGCGGAGACGGUUUGUUCCUGAAUAUUUCACAAGAACCUUGUACAAUCGACUCCAACGGUUGUGCCAAGGUAAUUCUAGUGUUGAUGAGUACUAUAAAGAGAUGGAGAUUUUGAUGAUUAGGACAACGGUGAAUGAGCCCGAGGAGGCCACAAUGUCAAGAUUCUUUCAUGGACUGAAUGAAGAUGUGCAAGAAAGGAUAGAGAUGAUUACAUAUCAAGAUUUGCAAGAACUUGUGCAUCAAGCUAUUCGUGUAGAGCAGCAGCUGAAGCGUCGCCAAAAUCGCAGCCAAACCUAUACAUCAAGCACUUGAAGAAGUUCAGCUCAACGAGAAGUAGACGGAAGUGUCGCUGCAGAUUUUCGCUCACACAACAAGAUGACUACAAAGGAAGCUAAUGCAUCAAAGGUUGAAUCUUCCAAUACUUCUGCCACUCGCGUUAGUAAUAUUCAGUGCCAUACAUGCAAGGGUAGAGGUCACUUCAAGAAGGAUUGUCCUAAUCUGAAGAAGGUUUUACUCACAAAUGAUGGAUAUGUCACCGAUGACUCAAGUGACAAAUCUGAAUCUGAGAAGAAAGAUGCAAAUUAUUGUACUUUUGAGACUGGAGCACCUCUGAGUUCAGAUGGAGGAGAUGGUGUUAAUCUCAUGGUUCGCAAAGUGGCUCAUGAUGAUGCUCCUAUUAUUGAGAAGGGCCAGCGACAAAAUGUGUUCCAAUCCAUUUGCAAGAUCAAGAACAAAAAUUGCAAGGUGGUCAUCGAUGGAGGCAGCUACAACAACAUCAUUAGUAGUGAUCUUGUGCAUGCUCUUGGGAUGUCAACAUGGAGGCAGCCCCAGCCAUAUUAUGUGAAGUGGCUGAAUGGUGUUGGUAAGUUGAAGAUUACGCAUCAUGCGAGGGUGCAAUUUUCAGUGGGAAGUUAUGUGGACAAAGUGGUAUGUGAUGUGGUGCCAAUGCGAGCUUGUCAUCUUCUUUUGGGAAGACCGUGGCAGUUUGAUCAUGAUGCUACUCACCAUGGGAGGUCUAACAAGUAUUCUUUCAUGCAUCAAGGAGUGAACCAUGUCUUGGAACCUAGGGUGGAUCAAGUACUCAAGGUUGAGCAAUUCCCACAAGUGAAGAAGCCCAAAAAGAAUACCUCAAAACCGAGGAUGGUUUUGUUUGAAGGAAGGGAGGAUGAUGUGGACCAGAUCAUGACCAAGGUAUCCAAGAAUGAGGUUAGCACAAAUGCAGAACCAUUAGAGCAUCCAAAGGAAGACAAGGGAAAAAACAUUAUCUUUGUUGGGAAGCUUCCGGUGCCUAUUUUGGGGGAAAUGACACAUCAAAUUUCCAGCAGCAACUUCCCACCUAAACCUAAUUAAUUGUGGAAGUCUCUAGCACUUUAUAGAGGCUACAAGAGAUGGUCUUGGAAGUCAGCUUUCAUUUAAAAAAAACUAUGCAUCAUUUGAGGUCUUGAGUCAAAAGUUGUGCAAGUUUCCAUGCAAGCUGUCCAGGAAUUUAUUACAGCGCGAGGCUCAACAAGUUUGCUCCUGCUACAGCUUGGGGCUCACGAAUUUACCCUUCUUUUUGAGUUGUUUUCACACCUAACUAGUGGGUGCUUCUUGUAUAAAUACUCCCCGGCUGUUCCAUGUGAGGGGGGAUGAGAUUUCUGAGUUUAUGUUUGUAGACAGCCGAUGAUGUUGUGUUGUGCUGCGAGCACUAGUAUCGUCGAGUGUUAGCUCGUGUGUGUGGAUUGGAGGGCCUAUCCUCAAUUCAUAUAGGAUCCUUGUGGUUCCCUCUUGUGAUUCUUCAUAGGUUCACAAGCUUCAUGGUUUGGGUUGCAUCCUUGUAAACCAGCUAGUUAUCCGCUGUAAUUUACCUGAGAGUGUUUCCUCUUGUUCUUCCCCCUUGAGAGAAACAAAGUUUGUUGAAACAAGUAUCGAGUGAGUUUGUUGCUGCUCCUUGUGAGUUCUUUGGCACCGUGAAAGAUCAUUUCCGAGGCGUCCCGCAUCAGGAAUCCCAAGGUAGACGAUCGGGAAGGUGGUGACCGCGCACGUCAGCGUCGAACCAACAACAUCAGCCACGGUAUCAUCACAUUGAAUAGGGGUGGCAGAGCACUUGAGAAAAUUGGUGCGUAAGCCCGAAGCUUCAUAGGGAAGAGGCCAACCUUUCCUGCUUGGUGUUGUAAAUUUGUACAUGACAUCUCUUCUUGUAGAUAGAGUUAAUGCUUACCAAAGCUCCUGGAUUGGAUUUGUAAUCUCCAUUAGAUAAAUAGGUAGGUAGGAAAGUGUGGUUUUUCCUUUUUCUUGGUUCCCUUUGUAAACAUUUUUUGCUAGCUUUUGUUUUGAUGGAAUAAAGGACUGGAGCUGUUGCUCCAUAGUAGUUACAAAAAUUCAAGAUUUUUAUUGAUUUUUCACUAGUAUGAUUACACUCCUUCACAAAGGAGCUCUUUUUUUUUGAAAAGGAGGAUGUACCCCCGGCCGCAUCUGGGCUAUGCAUGUAGCCAUAAAGGAGCUCAUGCAAUGCAUGUUGGAGAUUUAUUUCAAUAGUUCCAUAACAUGUUUUGAAUGCUGUUGCUAUCUAGUUCAGUUAGAUGCUUAUUAUCCAGACCAACAAAAGUUCUUUAGUAAGGGUCUCUACAAGAAUAUCUUUCAUCCUAUUCUACUAGCAAAACCGAUGUAGAUGCUGGUAGUGACAUGGAAAAGAAACCAUAAUCUUUUUGUAUUGAUAUAUAAGUAAAGAAACUGAAAUUUGCAACUGCAAAUCAGGGGAUCUUAAUGUCAAAUACUGAAUGCUUCCACAACUAGUUGUGUGACAUAUUCAUUGCAGUGCCAAAUAAAGAAACUUUUCCAUGAAUUAAUAACAUCAAGACAAUGGUCCGCAUGUUUUAUAUAAUAAAUAUCACACAGGUUUUGUAUAUGUGUAGCCGGCUCUAGAAUUUACAUAUGCAUGCUCGAGAAUCUAUGUUCGUACAUACAUACACAGACCAUAUAGAAUGAAAAAUAUGCUCUGGUCGUCCAGCAGAGUCGUGGACAAAAGUGAAGUUCACAAAAGACCUUCAUACAUAGGCCAUUGUUUCAACUCGUAGUUUAGGCCUUGCCAGACUCCUCGCAACCCGGUGGCCUGAAGGCAAUGAAGCUGACGCACUGCACCUGGCGUAGGUUGUCGAAGCCGAUGACGCGGACAUAGGCGUCAGGGUACUCCUUCUUGACCUCCUCCACCUCGUUGAGCACCUGUGUAGCGUCGGUGCACCCGAACAUAGGCAGCUUCCACAUUGUCCAGUAUCGACCAUCGUAGUACCCGGGGGAGCUGUUGUGCUCACGGAAAACGAAGCCAACCUUGCUGAACUCGAGGCAGGGCACCCACUUGGAGCGGAUCAAGUAGUCGACCUGCUUCAGGAGGGCCUCCGUGGAGAGGGGUGGCAAGUAAGACAGAGUCUCGAACUUCUUGAUGCCCUCAAUCGGCCACACCUGAAUGAAUAGAAUGCGCAGAUGCUCAAUACUUGGUGCUAAGUCAAUUGUACCAACAAUGCUAGAAAAAUCUGUUGAUAAGCCAAAAAUUGCUCCUGAUGGGCAGGUCUCAUAUGUAUUGUUCGUUUGUCCACAAUGAAGAAAGCUUAAGGGUAGCCCUUAAACUGAUGGGCACUCUGGAGGUACUAAGAUAAUUUUAUCUAGUCCAUGCUGCAAUAAAGAGUAUUUCCAUUCACUAAGUUAUGAGUUGAUGGCUUUUACAUACGGAUCCCAGCUUAUGGACAAGGCUGAAUGAGCAUCCAAAGCCAAAUGGUUUCCAUAGGCAACAAACCAAACAGAUAAUAAGGUUUCGGAAUAAUCUAUUGACCAAAUUAUGUUAUACAUUGGGGAUGUUCUGUAAGUGAAUUACUUGUACUGACAAAGAAACUCAUAUCAGUUUAAUUAGUGACCGACAUACCUGCAUGCACCUGAUCCUUCCGCCGUUGCUGACGCUGCUGAGGCCGGCGCUGCUGGAGCGGCGGCUGACGGGCAGGCCGGCGGUCGACUUGAGACCCUGGAAGGGUGCGACGGAGGUGGCCGAGGAAGCCAUCACAGUGGGGGCCAUGGUGUUGGAGGAGAGAAGGUGGCAGGCUAAGCUUGGCCCCCAUUGCUGGGUCACCACGGUAUAUAUAGCCAUAUAUGGCCAGCUCCUAUCUUUAAUCAAGAUGUGGAAGGGGUGGCUGGCGUUCGUUGGUUGCUUGGUUUCCUUAUCUCUCCGGAUUAGUGUAAGAGGCAUGGCCGUUGGAUGAGUUGUGUGUGCCCAAAAUUUCAGUCGUCCAUGUCAUUGUGUGAUUGCCACAAUCCUUUUUCCAGCCUUGCAUUACUGUAUUAUUCUUUUCGUUUCAUCUUGCUAAAGGUAACGCUUGAAAGGUGCACGAAGAACUCCCUUUGUUGAUUUGCGAUUUAAGUUCAGUGGCACAGGCAUAACGAAUGUUAUAGUACAUCCUUUAUCCACUUUUAUAAUACAAAACUUGUCAACCAGUUAUGCUUGCUUCUAAUCUUUGGUACUUCAUUUUAUAACAUUUUAUACAGGUAACUAACGUAUACUUGCUGCAUGUAUGAUGUGUGUCAUCAUGACCUUUAUGUACUUUAUUCACAAUUAUUCAUUGGAACACAAAAGUGUUGUACUAUUUUCUACACCUAAUCAUUUACAUGCCUUGGAGGAUUUUUAGUAUAGGAAAUGCUAUUUAACUGGCUGUCCAGGCAAGGUAUAACUUUGUUUUAAUCUAUGAGCUAAAGUUUUAGAUCCCUCUGUUAUCCAUUUGCUCAGUUCAUGCCGUCCCCAGUGAACUCAUAAAUUACAUAUGGUGAGUGAAUAUAGACCACAAAAAAUGGUAGAUGUAUGUUCAUUCAUUUCAUGAUGAUGAAGCAACCUGCAAAAUGAUGGAAUCGACCAUGACUACUCAGUGAUAUGGCAAUCAUGUAGGACGAUCAUCGUGAUCAUCCUCCCGAGUCGUCCCCGUGCGGCGGCUGGGAGUACCCCAGAUCCCGUCGCCCCCGACUCCCCCUCUCGUCCCCUCCUCCCUCACCGCCGCCCGAGGGCGCCGCCGGGCAAAGCCUUGCCGUCGCCGGCGGCGGCAGGGACUAGGUGCCCUCCCGCUCGUGAGGAGCUGGCGCGGACCAGCGCCCCCGGGCUGGAGCGUGGCGUGCAUCUGGAUGUCAUGACGGGGGCUGGCGGCGCUCCUGCGAUCCCAUACCUCAUGGCAGGCGGCUUCAAGAUCUGGGGCGACACGGUUGCCAGGGUCGGCGGCGGUGGCGUGGCCGGAUCUAGGACCAGGUGUGAGCUUGGUCUCCGGGUCACGAUCGGCGCGAUGGCAAGUGCGACAUGUCGGCAGCUGGACGGAUCUGCGGGAUUCCAUCCUUGUCUAGUCCUUGACAACUCGAGCAACUCCGAGGGAAACCCUAGAUCCAUGGGAUCAAGCGAUGGCAGUGCUUUUGCGUCGUAGUCCCUCUUCGGGACAUCAUUUUAGAGUUUGCUAUGGUUGAAGGGACCAGCGAGGCAUGCGGCGUACGCCCGGUGUCGCAACUACCGAUGAAAAUUACGCCAACUACGGUCAUGGCGGACGAUGGCGGCGUCUUUGAUGUCGUUUCCUUGUCGAGACAUCGUCAUUGCAGUUGGCAUCAUCAUGCUCGGGAUGCUCCGGGGGAAACCCUAGAUCUGGGUCUCCCGGAUCGGACGAUAAUAGCGUUCUUAGUAUCGCUUUCCCUCAUCGGGGCAUCGUUUUGGAGCAAGUGAUGGCUGGAGGUGAUAAGAGGAGGAGCGGUGCUUCAUCAUACACAUUGGUGGUGUCGGAUCUCGAUGGCAUGGCACCCUGGAAAUUAGGCGUUUGAUGUGCGAUGAUGGACUCGCGUAGGAGGUCGACGCUCUCUGGCGUCGUGGUGGCAUCGGCGGCAGCUAGACCGGGCAAGGUACAUGCAGUAGUACAACUCUGAAGAUGGAUUGGUGGCAGGUGGCUGCGGCGGCCUCAUACCCGGCAGGCGUCCUGGUUGAGGAGCACGCUGGACUGGUGGGUGCCCAUGCCCGGCAGGAGUCCUGGUUGGGACCUCAGGUCUUAGAUGUUAGGUUUGGCUGCGAUGUCUCUUUGGUAUUAGGCCCAGACUAUCAGCGCCCCUUCAUCAACUGGAUUGGAUUAGCGACAGAUGUUGCUUAGACGGUGGCUUUAGUCUUAUUGUUGUAUGGUUUUGUAAGGUCUUGUGCUAAUAAUUAAUAAAAUGAUUGUAUGCAUCGCCCAGAUGCAGAGGCCGGGGGUCCUUCUCCUUUUCUAAAAAUCUAGUCAUUUAAGGUAGAUGUCGUGAUCUUCUUGUGUGACUGUCUCAUAGAUUUGAGCUGCAAAUCGAAUCUUAUAUUCUUCCAUUUUUUUUGAAUUUCCUGCAUGUAGUUAAUUAUUUUUUAUGAAUCCUUAAUGAUAAUUAACAUGGCCCAGAUAUUCACAAAAUAUCCAUAACUAUCAUGAACGAAUCAAUAAAUUACUAUUGCAGAAUGAAGAAUGAACCUUCCAUAGACCCCUCCACUUGGGCCCGUCGGUAGAGAGAUUCAUCACUCAUGGGCCACAAAAUGCGAGCCAAGUAGGACGACCUUCACUAAUGGGCCCUUAAGUUGGGCAUCAAUGGAGGGGCACCCAUGGGGCCCAAAGAUCCAACUGAAUGGACAGUCCAUCUCUACUGACGGUCAUACCGGAAUUUCCUAACGGACGCACAUUGUGUCAAGUUGCCACUGUUUCGCACAGAUGCCAGCGACUGGCGACCGAGAUGGGCCGGCCCAAUUACGAGCCCACAGAUGCGCUACAGUGUCCGGUUUUGGGAAACUUCUAGGAGGUUCCUGAGCGGUUUUGGGAACCUUCUAGAAGGUUCCUGAACCAGUUUUCCCUGGUUUAUUCUGUUUCUUUUUAUUUUUCUUUCAAUAUUGUUUAUUCUUUUUCAUUCUUUAUUUUUAUUUUUUCGUUUUGCCGUUUCUAUAUUCCAUUUUUUAUUUCUUUAAUUCCUUUUCCUUCUCUUUUUUCCUUCAGAAUUAAAAAAUAAUAAAAAUGUUCAGAAGUUAAGAAAAUUUUAUUGUUUAAAAAUUUUGUUCAUAAAUUGAAAAAUGUUCUUCUUUUCAAAAAACCUUCGCAUUUUUAAAAAAUGUUUGGCAUUUAAAAAAUGUUCCGCUUUCAAAAUAUUGUUCACAAAUUACAAAUAAUGUUCACUCUUUCCAAAUUUUGUUCAGAGUUUGGACAUGUUUGCAGACGUAAAAAUGUCCACCUUUUCCAGAAAUGUUCAUAUCUUUUUUUUCAAAAUUUGUUCACAAAUUCAAAAAUUCCUGUUUUUAUAAUUUGUUCACACAUCCAAAAAUUGUUCACACCUUUUAAAAAUUCUCAAAAUUUGUUCACAAAUUCAAAAAGCUUUCCAUUUUUAUAAUUGUUCACAGAUUAAAAAAUUGUUCAAAUCUUUAAAACUUGUUCGUGAUUCUAAAAAAAUGUUCAUAUCUUAAAAGAAAUCACAAAUUCGAACAAAUUCCUGUUCUCAAAAUUAGUUCACAAAUUAAAAAUGUUAUUUUUUGAAAAUUAUUCACAAAUUCAAAAAAAGUUCGCAUUUUGUCCAAACUUGUUCGUGAUUUGUCAAAAAAUGUUCGGAAUUUAAAAAAAUGUACCCGUUCUUUCAAGAUUUGUUCACAAAUUAAAAAAUUAUUUCCCUGUUUAAAUUUGGUUCACAAUUCAAAAAAUCAUGUUUUUUAAACUUCAAUUUUUUGCACGUGUCUAACAAAAUAGGUCAGAGUUUUGAAAAUUGUUCCUUUUUAAAAAAUUGUCCAGAACUGCAAAAUUGUUCCUGUUUUUAAAAUUCGAAUAAUUGCGACCAUUUGUUGAAACUCGUGUGCAUUUUUGCCAAAAACAUUUGGACUUUUAAAAAUAUAUUCAGAAUUAACAAGAAAAGAUUUAAAAAGGAAAAAUAAUGUGACCUGCCGUUGUGACCAGUACUAGUCGUGGUGGCUAGCUAGCUUCGUAUAAAAAAGCACGAUCGCGAGCUCGAGUCCUAGCUCUCGCUUCGAGUUUUUCGUUGCCUUUUUAACACUGCACGCUGCCUGCGUGGGCCGGCCCAGUCGGGCGCCUAACCUGUGCGAUCGCUCGACAUUCUGCCGCAGAAUGCGGCAGAUAGGAAGUCCCGGUCAUACCACACCACCCGUCAAUGUUGGGCGCCCCGUUAGUGCUGAAUUAAGGUAUUUCUAUCUGCUAGAGACGAAGUGGCCUUAUAUGGGCUUUCUCUUUUCUCCUAAACAAAACCAAGCCACCUCCCCCAAUCCAUUCCUCCCCAACGUCAUCACCACCCAAUGUUUUUGUCUCCUUACAUGUGUGCCCCCUCCUUCUUCCACAUUGAUCUGGUCCAACGCUACCGUCUCAUCCCCGCGAUCAUCGUCACUACUCUUCGAUUACUCGUGAUGGCGCGGGUUGUGGCUUCCCACUUGCUCUCUCGUAAGAGUGGUUGGGUAAACCCCAAGUGUAAGGAUGAAGUAACCUAGUAAUAAGCAUUUUCCCCGAUAGGUUUAUCAAACCAGUAGGAAUUUCUUCUACAACCCAAAUCCUCGGUACCUGCACACCAAACACAAAAUAAUCUUGCCCCAAACGUUUCAAGAAGGUUGUCAAGCUUCUUGUCCUGCUAGUUACAAGGAUUAGUUGUUAGUUGAAAGCAAAUAUCAGUUGCUAAGUAGCCUUAGUGUGGUUUGUACCUUCAGAUCUGCCAUGACACUGUCAACACUAUACUCGCCAUGCUUAGGGUUCAUCCUUUUUAUAUACACCAAGAUCAACCUAGGUGCUUCGCGUCGUACUAGCACUAAUCCAACCAUCAAUAUAAAUGAAAUGCCACCAUAAUUUCAAAGCUUAGUUGUUCAAAUACGAAUAUGAUGUGGUACUAAUAUUAGUUUAAAAUAGACACAUGUAGUUGGUCAGCCAAUGUUCCUUGUUGAGUUUCAAAAUACAUGUACACCACUUAUAGAGAGGCAUGAGUGAAUACUAUUUAUUUCUGCGAUCUCGUCCAUCAUGGAUGGGCAACGAACAUUGCAUUGUAUAGAAAGAAGGGUUAUAUAUAACCACCUUUUACAUAGAUGACGCUUUGCCUACGUGCUUUGUGUUGAAGUAGCAACACUCCACCUUUCAAGCUAAACAACAUGACACUCAUAAUUUCAAAGCUUAUUUUGUCAAAUACGAAUUUGAUAUGAUACUGAUAUUAGUUAAAAUGACACACAUUAAUUGUCAGCUAAUGUUCCUACUUCAGUUUUGAAAUGCAUAUCUGCCCCUUAUAGAGAGACAAGAGAGGUUUCUAUCUCUCUAUCCGCUCUUGUCAUCAUGGUUGGGGGGUGAACUUUGUAUAUCGUAUAGUUUGAAGCUGUCAUCUACCAACAAUCAUCACUUCUGGAGAUCUCAACUAGGAGCCUUUUUUGAGUAGUAGGGCCAUAUUAUAUUAAUACACACACCAAAUUACAACUCACAUAGCAUCUCUCGGCAGACUUCCAGAGAUAGUACGCAGGGGUUUAUAAGGAGUCACUAUUGGGGUAGAAUCGGCAAUGCAUUUGUUACACCCCGAUUCAGAGAACCGGAGGUCCCCGUGUUCCAGCCCAGAUAUCCAUUCGUCUGGAACACGACUAUAGCUUGGUACAGAUAGACCAAAAUAAAUAAGUACUUAUGUACAUUAAGGAGACAUGUCUAAGUGUGAGAAGCUCGAGGGCUUUAUUCUACGAGUGGCUUAAGGAAGUACUAAAGACGAAAAUAAUACUAAUGACACAACAGAAGACGGGGUACCAGUGGGGCUCCAAUCUAAAGAGACACUGCUGGUACACGAACUCUUAGGGGAACUCUUCUAUCGGCUCUCUAGUAUCUAGCAUGAUAAGUCAGGUGAGUACUUAAUUUGAAUGUACUCGCAAGCUCACAAACAAUCCAAAGCAAGCAAGAACGGAGCAAAUAAACAUAGCAACGAAGUAAGGACUAGUAAAGCUACUACUAUCAAGACUACUCCAUAGACUUCUUGUCUGCUCGUUUAACAUCUACUGGACUUCUUCUUGAAAUGAGUCCUGCUCAAACGACUCAACAAUAUAAGUUACCUGUUACCACAGUUACUAGAGUUGAAAGUAAAGGAAUAUGGGUACUUGGUCAAAUAGUGUGACCUAACACAAAUGGUGUCCCAUUGUCGGGGACUCGGCUAUUUGAAUAGUUUCAACACACACUCUGUAGAGGUCACACACUUUAAUUUACCCACACCAUAGAUUCUUUGUCUAAUGAAUCUCAUUCAUAGCAUGGCACUCUAACUAUUCCUCCGACCUCCCGCAGGCUAGCCCUGGGAGAGAGGAUCUGGGUCCUUGCCACUCUGUGUGGCACCACUUGUAUUCGCUUAGGAAUAUUUUCUAUUGAGCUCAUCCACAGACCCAGGCUCUCUUGACUGAAUGGCAACUUCCAAGCCAGAGGAAGUCUACACAUUCCAGCUUCCCUCUUCAGAGACACACAAAAGAUACAUACCUAGAAACGGAAUAAGGCCCUCCCAUUCGGCUAGAUGUGGCUAUACUGAGGUUGUUCCGCUUUGUGGCAUUUGGAUUGGCUAGCUAUUUAAAGUUGGGUUAAGAAGGAAAGUAAAACCGUAACUUUGUACUAGCUAUUCAAAUCCACAACUUGUUAUCCUACUAGGGUGAAGUAUUCACGAGGAUUCAUCAUCCUAAGUAGAGGCUUUCCCCGAGAUCCUUUGUGAACAUUGAUACCUAUUUUGCUUAUGAUUCAUGUUGGCAAAAUAAUUACCGGUUACGAGUCAUAGUUAAACUUCUAUUCCACUAGGACCAAAUAAAGGUAUCCUUGCUAGUGACUCACUAUGCUAUUUCAACCACAACAAACUUGACAUAAGCAAAGGGAAGCAAUAAAGAACACUGAAAGAAAAGUAAUGCGGGAAAAGAAAUGCAAGUUGAAUCCAUGGCCUUGCAAUGCAAGUUGAACCUAUAGUGUUAUAGCCAUGGCUCACGCUCAUGUAUUGCAUGGGGCUGAAAAUCUUGAAGCGCGUUAGAAGUGUUAAGCUUCAUGCACUAGCCAACGCAGCCAAAAGUCUGAACUGAUGGAAAGGGCUAGUACAAUCCACAUAUACUAUAACACCCUCUCUCACGUGGGACGGGGAAGACAAGUCAACACAUGCAACCGGAAGAGAGCGACGGCACGCGAAACUCAGGUAUGACUCAAGAGGCCUAUACGUGGACACAAAGGAGGGCUGUCAGCAAUUUUUAAAUAAGUUGCACAAACCAGGACUUGAACUCAAGACCUUAACUCCAAUACCAUGUUAAGCUUCAUUGACUCACUGAAAAACCAGCGGCAGUCACCACAGAGGCAAAACGCUCAAACAAGGCGCGGGGGGCUUGCUUAAGGCCAUAGAGAGAGCGACGAAGACGAGAUACCAUGCCAUCAGGAACAGAAUACCCAGGUGGUGGCUGCAUGUAUACCUCCAUUUGCCUGGUUUGACACCGGGGUGCUCAUGAUUUAUAUAUAUGCAAUGAAGGCGGAGUCAUGCCAUGCUAACAUGAUAAAAUGAGUGGGGAUAACAUUCGUUAAUGAUCGUAUAUUUUGAAAAAGUAAUGAUUAUGUUUCUUAUAUUCAUGGAAAUUAUUAUGUUGAUAUUGUUACUUCAUUGUUUCUCAAUAACUAUAUCAUAAAGAUAUUACAUGAUACAUAUGUUUGUUGGGGAACGUAGUAAUUUCAAAAAAAUUCCUACGCACACGCAAGAUCAUAGUGAUGCAUAGCAACAAAAGGGGAGAGUGUUGUCUAUGUACCCUCGUAGACCGAAAGCGGAAACGUUAGAACAACGCGGUUGAUGUAGUCGUACGUCUUCACGGCCCGACCAAUCAAGCACCGAAACUACGACACCUCCGAGUUCUAGCACACGUUCAGCUCGAUGACGUCCUUCGAACUCCGAUCCAGCCGAGUGUCGAGGGAGAGUUCCGUCAGCACUACGGCAUGGUGACGAUCUUGAUUUUCUACCGUUGCAAGGCUUCUCCUAAGCACCGCUACAAUAUUAUCAAGGAGGACUAUGGUGGAGGGGGGCACCGCACACGGCUAAGAGAUCAAGAGAUCAAUUGUUGUGUCUAGAGGUGCCCCCCUGCACCCGUAUAUAAAGGAUCAAGGGGAAGGGGGCGGCCGGCCAGGAGGAGGUGCGCCAAGGGGGGAGUCCUACUCCCACCGGGAGUAGGACUCCUCCUUCCCUUGUUGGAGUAGGAGAGAAGGAAAGAGGGGGAGAGGAGGAAGGAAAAGAGGGCUGCACCCCUUGUCCAAUUCGGACCAGAGUGGGGCUGUGCGCCUCCUUCCUUUCGGCCUCUCUCCUCUAUUCCCGUAUGGCCCAAUAAGGCCCAUAUACUCCCCGGCGAAUUCCCGUAACUCUCCGGUACUGUGAAAAAUACCCGAAUCACUCGGAACCUUUCCGAAGUCCGAAUAUGGUCGUACAAUAUAUCGAUCUUUACGUCUCAACCAUUUCGAGACUCCUCGUCAUGUCCCCGAUCUCAUCCGGGACUCCGAACUCCUUUGGUACAUCAAAACUCAUAAACUCAUUAUAUAACUGUCAUCGAAACUUUAAGCGUGCGGACCCUAUGGGUUCGAGAACUAUGUAGACAUGACCGAGACACGUUUCCGGUCAAUAAACAAUAGCGGAACCUAGAUGCUCAUAUUGGCUCCUACAUAUUCUACGAAGAUCUUUUAUUGGUCAAACCACAUAACAACAUACGUUGUUCCCUUUAUCAUCGGUAUGUUACUUUCCCGAGAUUUGAUCGUCGGUAUCCAAUACCUAGUUCAAUCUCGUUACCGGCAAGUCUCUUUACUCGUUCCGUAAUGCAUCAUUCCGUAACUAACUCAUUAGCUACAUUGCUUGCAAGGCUUAUAGUAAUGUGCAUUACUAAGAGGGCCCAGAGAUACCUCUUCGACAAUCGGAGUGACAAAACCUAAUCUCGAAAUACGCCAACUCAACAUGUACCUUUGGAGAUAGCUGUAGAGCUCCUUUAUAAUCACCCAGUUACGUUGUGACGUUUGGUAGCACACAAAGUGUUCCUCCGAUAAACGGGAGUUGCAUAAUCUCAUAGUUAUAGGAACAUGUAUAAGUCAUGAAGAAAGCAGUAGCAACAUACUAAAUGAUCAAGUGCUAAGCUAACGGAAUGGGUCAUGUUAAUCACAUCAUUAUCCUAAUUAUGUGAUCCCGUUAAUCAAAUGACAACUCAUGUCUAUGGUUAGGAAACAUAACCAUCUUUGAUUAAUGAGCUAGUCAAGUAGAGGCAUACUAGUGACAUUAAGUUUUGUCUAUGUACUCACACAUGUAUCAUGUUUCCGGCUAAUACAAUUCUAGCAUGAAUAAUAAAAAUUCAUCAUGAUAUAAGGAAAUAAAUAAUAACUUUAUUAUUGCCUCUAGGGCAUAUUUCCUUCAGUCUCCCACUUGCACUAGAAUCAAUAAUCUAGUUCACAUCGCCAUGUGAUUUAACACCAAUAUUCACAUCUGUAUGUGAUUAAUACCCAAUAGUUCACAUUGUCAUGUGAUCAACACCCAAAGGGUUUACUAGAGUCAAUAAUCUAGUUCACAAAUCUAUGUGAUUAACACCCAAAGAGUACUAAGGUAUGAUCAUGUUUUGCUUGUGAGAGAAGUUUAGUCAAUGGGUCUGUCACAUUCAGAGCCGUAUGCAUUUUGCAAAAAUUCUAUGUCUACAAUGCUCUGCACGGAGCUACUUUAGAUAAUUGCUCCCACUUUUAAUAUGUAUCCAGAUUAAGACUUAGAGUCAUCUGGAUCAAUGCCAAAACUUGUAUUGACGUAACCCUUUACGACGAACCUUUUUUCACCUCCACAAUCGAGAAACAUAUCCUUAUUCCACUAAGGAUAAAUUUGACCAAUGUCCAGUGAUCUACUCCUAGAUCACUAUUGUACUCCCUUGCCAAACCAGGACAGAGUAUACAAUAGGUCUGGUCCAUAGCAUGACAUACUUUUAUAGAACCUAUGACUGAUGCAUAGGGAAUGACUUUCAUUCACUUUCUAUUUUCUGCCGUGGUCCGGAUUUGAGUCUUACUCAAUUUCUUACCUUUGCAACAUAGGCUAGAACUCUUUCUUUGACUGUUCCACUUUGAACUAUUUCAAAAUCUUGUCAAGGUAUGUACUCAUUGAAAAUAUUAUCAAGCGUCUUGAUCUAUCUCAAUAGAUCUUGAUGCUCAAUAUGUAAGUAGCUUUACUGAGGUCUUUCUUUUAAAGAACUCCUUUCAAACACUUCUUUAUGCUUUCCAGAAUUUUUUUAUAUCAUUUCUGAUCAACAAUAUGUCACUCACAUAUACUUAUCAGAAAGGCUGUAGUGCUCCCACUCAUUUUAUUGUAAAUGCAUGCUUCACUGCAAGUCCAUAUAAAACUAUAUGCUUUGAUCAAAGCGUAUAUUCCAACUCCGAGAUGCUUGCACCAGUCCAUAGUUGGAUCGCUAGAGCUUGCACAAUUUGUUAGCACCUUUAGGAUUGACAAAACCUUCUGAUUGCAUCAUAUACAACUCUUCUUUAAUAAAUCCAUUAAAGAAUGCAGUUUUGACAUCCAUUUGCCAGAUUUCAUAAAAUGUGGCAAUUGCUAAUAUGAUUCGGACAGACUUAAGCAUCGAUACGAGUGAGAAAAUCUCAUCGUAUUCAACACCUUAAACUUGUCAAAAAACUUUUGCGACAAGUCGAGCUUUGUAGAUAGUAACACUACUAUCAGCGUCUGUCUUCCUCUUGAAGAUCCAUUUAUCUUCCAUGGCUUGCCGAUCAUCGGGCAAGUCCACCAAAGUCCACACUUUGUUCUCAUACAUGGAUCUCAUCUCAGAUUUUAUGGUCUCAACCCAUUUUGCGGAAUCUGGGAUCAUCAUCGCUUCCUCAUAGUUUGUAGGUUCAUCAUGGUAUAGUAACAUGACCUCCAUAAUAGGAUUACCGUACCACUCCGGUGCGGAUCUUACUCUGGAAGACCUACGAGGUUCUGUAGUAACUUAAUCUGAAGUUUCAUGAUCAUCAUCAUUAGCUUCCUCACUAACUGGUGUAGGAAUCACUGGAACUGAUUUCUGUGAUGAACUACUUUCCAAUUCGGGAGAAGGUACAAUUACCUUAUCAAGCUCUACUUUCCUCCCACUCACUUCUUUCGAGAGAAACCCCUUCUCUAGAAAGGAUCCAUCUUAGCAACGAAUAUUUUGCCUUCGGAUCUGUGAUAGAAGGUGUACCCAACAAUUUCCUUUGGGUAUUCUAUGAAGACGCACUUCUCUGAUUUGGGUUCGAGCUUAUCAGGUUGAAAUUUUUUCUCAUAAGCAUCGCAGCCCCAAACUUUAAGAAACGACAGCUUAGGUUUAUUGCUAAACCAUAGUUCAUACGGUGUCGUCUCAACGGAUUUAGAUGGUGCCCUAUUUUAACGUGAAUGCAGCUGUCUCUAAUGCAUAGCCCCAAAACAAUAUUGGUAAAUCGGUAAGAGACAUCAUAGAUCGCACCAUAUCCAAUAAAGUGCGGUUACGACGUUCGAACGCACCACUACGAUGUGGUGUUCCAGGUGGCAUGAAUUGUGAGACUAUUCCACAUUGUUUUUAUACGAAAGCCAAACUCGUAACUCAAAUAUUCUCCUCCACGAUCAGAUCGUAGAAACUUUAUUUUCUUGUUACGAUGAUUCUCCACAUCACUCUGAAAUUCUUUGAACUUUUCAAAUGUUUCAGACUUGUGUUUUAUUAAGUAGAUAUACUCAUAUCUUGCUCAAAUCAUCUUGUGAAGGUCUGAAAAUAACGAUACCCGCCACGAGCAUCAAUACUCAUUGGACCGCAUACAUCAGCAUGUAUUAUUUCCAAUAAGUCACUAGCUCGUUCCAUUGUUCCGGAGAACGGAGUUUUAGUCAUCUUGCCCAAAAGGCACGGUUCGCAAGCAUCAAAUGAUUCAUAACCAAGUGAUUCCAAAAAUCCAUCUUUAUGGAGUUUCUUCAUGCGCUUUACACCGAUAUGACCCAAACGGUAGUGCCACCAAUAAGUUGCACUAUCACUAUAAACUUUGCAUCUUUUUGGCAUCAAUAUUAUGAAUAUGUGUAUCACUACGAUCGAGAUCCAAUAAACUAUUUUCAUUGGGUGUAUGACCAUCGAAGGUUUUAUUCAUGUAAAUAGAACAACAAUUAUUCUCUGACUUUAAAUGAAUAACCAUAUUGCAAUAAACAUGAUCAAAUCAUAUUUAUGCUCAACGCAAAAGCCAAAUAACAUUUAUUUAGGUUUAACACUAAUCCCAAAAGUAUAGGGAGUGUGCGAUGAUGAUCAUAUCAAUCUUGGAACUACUUCCAACACUGAUCGUCACUUCACCCUCAACUAGUCUCUGUUUAUUCUGUAACUCUUGUUUCGAGUUACUAAUUUUUUAGCAACCGAACAAGUAUCAAAUACUCAGGGGCUACUAUAAACACUAGUAAGGUACACAUCAAUAACCCGUAUAUCAAAUAUACCCUUGUUCACUUUGCCAUCCUUCUUAUCCACCAAAUAUUCAGGGCAUUUGCGAUUCCAGUGACCAUUUCCUUUGCAGUGUAAGAACUCAGUUUCAGGCUUUGGUCCAGCCUUGGGCUUCUUCACGGGAGUGACAACUUGCUUGUCAUUCUACUUGAAGUUCCCUUUCUUUCCCUUUGCCCUUUCUUUGAAACUAGUGGUCUUGUUAAUCAUCAACACUUGAUGCUCUUUCUUGAUUUCUACCUUCGUCGAUUUCAGCAUCACGAAGAACUCGGGAAUCGUUUUCAUCAUCCCUUGCAUUAUAGUUCAUCACGAAGUUCCAGUAACUUGGUGAUGGUGACUAGAGAACUCUGCCAAUCACUAUCUUAUCUGGAAGAUUAACUCCCACUUGAUUCAAGCGAUUGUAGUACUCAGACAAUCUCAGUACUUGCUCACUAUUUGAGUAAUUCUCCUCCAUCUUUUAGGCGAAGUAUUUGUCAAAGGUCUCAUACCUCUUGACACGGGCAUGAGUCUGAAAUACCAAUUUCAUCUCUUGAAACAUAUUAUAUGUUCCAUGAUGUUUCAAAAACGUUUUUGUAGUCCCGGUUCUAAGACAUAAAGCAUGGUGCACAAAACUAUCAAGUAGUCAUCAUAUUGAGCUAGGCAAACGUUCAUAACGUCUGAAUCUGCUCCUGCAAUAGGUCUGUCACCUAGCGGUGCAUAAAGGACAUAAUUCUUCUGUGCAGCAAUGAGGAUAAACCUCAGAUCACGGACCAAGUCCGCAUCAUUGCUACUAACAUCUUUCAACUUAGUUUUCUCCAGGAACACAUAUAAAACAUAGGGAAGCAACAACGCGAGCUAUUGAUCUACAACAUAAUUUGCAAAAUACUACCAGGACUAAGUUCAUGAUAAAUUAAAGUUCAAUUAAUCAUAUUACUUAAGAACUCCCACUUAGACAGACAUCUCUCUAGUCAUCUACGUGAUCACGUAAUCCAAAUCAACUAAACCAUGUCCGAUCAUCACGUGAGAUGGAGUAGUUUUCAAUGGUGAACAUCACUAUGUUGAUCAUAUCUACUAUAUGAUUCACGUUCGACCUUUCGGUCUCCAUGUUCCGAGGCCAUAUCUGUAUAUGCUAGGCUCGUCAAGUUUAACCUGAGUAUUCCACAUGUGCAACUGUUUUGCACCCGUUGUAUUUGAACGUAGAGCCUAUCACACCCGAUCAUCACGUGGUGUCUCAGCACGAAGAACUUUCACAAUGGUGCAUACUCAGGGAGAACACUUCUUGAUAAUUAGUGAGAGAUCAUCUUAAAAUGCUACCGUCAAUCAAAGCAAGAUAAGAUGCAUAAAGGAUACACAUCACAUGAAUCAACAUAAGUGAUAUGAUAUGGCCAUCAUCAUCUUGUGUUUGUGGUCUCCAUCUCCGAAGCACCGUCGUGGUCACCAUUGUCACCGGAGCGACACCUUGAUCUCCAUCGUAGCAUCGUUGUUGUUUCGCCAUCUAUUGCUUCUACGACUAUCGCUACCGCUUAGUGAUAAAGUAAAGCAAUUACAGGGUGCUUGCAUUUCAUACAAUAAAGCGACAACCAUAUGGCUCCUGCCAGUUGCCGAUAACUCAGUUACAAAACAUGAUCAUUUCAUACAAUAAAAUAUAACAUCACGUCUUGACCAUAUCACAUCACAACAUGCCCUGCAAAAACAAGUUAGACGUCCUCUACUUUGUAGUUGCAAAUUUUACGUGGCUGCUACAGGCUAAGCAAGAACCGUUCUUACCUACGCAUAAAAACCACAACGAUAGUUCGUCAAGUUAGUGCUGUUUUAACCUUCACAAGGACCGGGCGUAGCCACACUCGGUUCAACUAAAGUUGGAGAAACUGACACCCGCCAGCCACCUGUAUGCAAAGCACGUCGGUAAAACCAGUCUCGCGUAAGUGUACGUGUAAUUUCGGUCCAGGCCGCUUCAUCCAACAAUAUCGCCGAACCAAAGUAUGACUUGCUGGUAAGCAGUAUGACUUGUAUCGCCCACAACUCACUUGUGUUCUACUCGCGCAUAUAACAUUUACGCAUAAAACCUGGCUCGGAUGCCACUAUUGGGGAACGUAGUAAUUUCAAAAAAUUUCCUACGCAUACGCAAGAUCAUGGUGAUGCGUAUCAACAAGAGGGGAGAGUGUUGUCUACGUACCCUCAUAGACCGAAAGCGGAAGCGUUAGAACAAUUUGGUUGAUGUAGUCGUACGUCUUCACGGCCCGAUCAAUCAAGCACCAAAACUACGGCACCUCCGAGUUCUAGCAUACGUUCAGCUCGAUGACAUCCUUCAAACUUCGAUCCAGCCAAGUGUCGAGGGAGAAUUCCGUUAGCACGACGGCGUGGUGACGAUCUUGAUGUUCUACCGUCGCAGGGCUUCUCCUAAGCACCGCUACAAUAUUAUCGAGGAGGACUAUGAUGGAGGGGGGGGGCACCGCACACGACUAAGAGAUCAAGAGAUCAAUUGUUGUGUCUAGAGGUGCCCCCUGCCCCCGUAUAUAAAGGAUCAAGGGGGAGGAGGCGGCCGGCCAGGAGGAGGCGCGCCAAGGGGGGAGUCCUACUCCCACCGGGAGUAGGACUCCUCCUUCCCUUGUUGGCGUAGGAGAGAAGGGAAGAGGGGGAGAGGAGGAAGGAAAAGGGGGCUGCACCCCUUGUCCAAUUCGGACCAGAGGGGGGCUGCGCGCCUCCUUCCUUUCGGCCUCUCUCCUCUAUUCCCGUAUGGCCCAGUAAGGCCCAUAUACUCCCACACGAAUUCACGUAACUCUCCGGUACUCCGAAAAAUACCCGAAUCACUCGGAACCUUUCUGAAGUCCGAAUAUAGUCAUCCAAUAUAUCGAUCUUUACGUGUCGACCAUUUCGAGACUCCUCGUCAUGUCCCCGAUCUCAUCUGGGACUCCGAACUCCUUCGGUACAUCAAAACUCAUAAACUCAUAAUAUAACUGUCAUUGAAACCUUAAGCGUGUGGACCCUACGGGUUCGAGAACUAUGUAGACAUGACCGAGACACGUUUCCGGUCAAUAACCAAUAGCGAAACCUGGAUGCUCAUAUUGGCUCCUACAUAUUCUACGAAGAUCUUUUAUCGGUCAAACCGCAUAACAAUAUACGUUGUUCCCUUUGUCAUCGGUAUGUUACUUGCCCGAGAUUUGAUCGUCGGUAUCCAAUACCUAUUUCAAUCUCGUUACUGGCAAGUCUCUUUACUCGUUCCGUAAUGCAUCAUUUCGUAACUAACUCAUUAGUUACAUUGCUUGCAAGGCUUAUAGUGAUGUGCAUUACCGAGAUGGCCCAGAGAUACCACUCCGACAAUCGAAGUGACAAAACCUAAUCUCGAAAUAUGCCAACUCAACAUGUAUCUUUGGAGACACCUGUAGAUCUCCUUUAUAAUCACCCAGUUAUGUUGUGAUGUUUGGUAGCACACAAAGUGUUCCUCUGGUAAACGGGAGUUGCAUAAUCUCAUAGUUGUAGGCACAUGUAUAAGUCAUGAAGAAAGUAUACGCCAACUCAACAUGUACCUUUGGAGACACCUGUAGAGCUCCUUUAUAAUCACCCAGUUACGUUGUGACGUUUGGUAGCACACAAAGUGUUCCUCCGGUAAACGGGAGUUGCAUAAUCUCAUAGUUGUAGGAACAUGUAUAAGUCAUGAAGAAAGCAGUAGCAACAUACUAAACGAUCAAGUGCUAAGCUAACGGAAUGGGUCAUGUCAAUCACAUCAUUCUCCUAAUGAUGUGAUCCCGUUAAUCAAAUGACAACUCAUGUCUAUCGUUAGGAAACAUAACCAUCUUUGAUUAAUGAGCUAGUCAAGUAGAGGCAUACUAGUGACAUUAAAUUUUGUCUAUGUAUUCACACAUGUAUCAUGUUUCCGGCUAAUACAAUUCUAGCAUGAAUAAUAAACAUUCAUCAUGAUAUAAGGAAAUAAAUAAUACCUUUAUUAUUGCCUCUAGGGCAUAUUUCCUUCAAUGUUAGCUAGCAUUACACAUCAAAAUUUUUGUUUUUAUCAUUUACCUAUUCGAGGAUGAGCAGGAAUUAAGCUUGAGGAUGUUGACAUGUCCAACAUAUCUAUAAUUUUUUAUUGUUUCAUGCUAUCAUAUGAUCAAUCUUGGAUGCUUUAUAUGUAUUUUAUACUAUUUUAUAUCUUUUUGGACUAACCUAUUAUUUUGAAAAAAAAUUGAAUUGUUUGGAUUGCUUACCACAUGUGUCACGUGGUUUGGGACUAACUUUUUAACCCAAUGCCUAGUGCUAGUUAAUGUUUUUUUUGCUUGUUUUUGGCUCUUCAGAAAAACAAUACCAAAUGAACUUCAAACAUGAUGAAACUUUACGGUAAUUUUUUCUGGACUAGAAGAGGCCCUAGAAGGUUCGGGAGGAGGCUAGAAGAUCUACGGAAGAGCCACGAGCUCACAGGGCACGCCCCCGAGCUCAUGGGCCCCACGCAGCUCCGUUUGACCUAAUUUCAACUCCAUAACUUCACAUAUAUUUCCAAACCAAUAGAGAGCCACCCGAAACACUUUUUUUCCACCGCAAGCUUCUGUUCUUCCGUGAUCCCAUCUGGAGGCCUUUUCCGGUACUCUGCCGGAGGAGGAAUCGAUCAUGGAGGGCUUCUAUAUCAUCCUUGCUGCCUUUCGAUGAUGCAUGCAUAGUUCAUGACAGACCUACGGGUCCAUAUCUAGUAGGUAGAUGGCUUCAUCUCUCUCUUUGAUCUUCAAUACAAUGUUCUCCUCGAUUUUCUUAGAGCUUUUUUAUCCUAUGUAAUCUUUUUUUGCGGUGCGUUUAUUGGGAUGCAGUGAAUUAUGGGUUUAUGAUCAAAUUAUUAACUGAAAGUAAUUGUGUCUUUUCUGAGCUUUAUUAUGCAUGAUUGUUAUAGCUUCGUAUUAUCCUCCGAUCAAUUCGUUUGGUUUCGCCAACUAGAUUGAUUUAUCUUCAGUGGGAGAGGUGCUUUGUAAUGGGUUCAAUCUUGCGGUGUCCUCAUAUAGUGACAGAAGGGGAAGCAAGGCACAUAUAGUAUCGUUGCCAUUAAGGAUAAAACGACGUGGUUUAAUCAUAUUUCUUGAGUUUACUUUGUCUAGAUCAUGUCAUCUUGCUUAAGGUGUUACUCUGUUUGCCAUGAACUUAAUACGAUAGAUGCAUGCUAAAUAGCGGUCGAUUGGUGGAGUAAUACUAGUAGAUGUAGGCAGGAGUCGAUCUACUUGUCACAGACAUGACUAUAUACAUGAUCAUUGCCAUGAAUAUGUCAUAACUAUGUGUUUUUCUAUCGGUUGUCUAACAGUAAUUUGUUUACCCACAAUAUGCUACGUGUUCGAGAGAGAAGCCUCUAAUGAAAACUAUGGCGCUAGGUCUACUUUUAUCAUAUUAUUAAAACUAAAAAUACCUUCAUGCAAUUUUAUACUUUUUUUACUUUUCUUUUUAUCUAUCUAUCACUAUCAGAAUUAAUCCUUGCAAAUAAUGAGUUCAAGGGGAAUGACAAGACUCUUGCCGCGUUGGGUGCAAGUAUUUGCUUUUGUGUGUGUAGGUGCUGAAAAAGGGAAUUUGCGUGGUUCUCCUAUUGGUUUGAUAACCUUGGUUCUCACUGACGGGAAUACUUAUCUCUAUUGUAUUGCUCCACCCAUCCUCUUGGGGGAAAUCCCAACGCAGUUUAGAAGUAGCACUACUCCUCCUUCCUCCUCCAUAGACGCUUGGCGAAGCCCUGCCACAGCUCCACCAUAAAAUCCACCACCACGCCAUCGUGUUGGCCUAGAUCUCAUCUACCUAUCCCUGUCGCUUGCUGGAUGAAGGAGACAUCACCGAGCCAUACGUGUGCAUAUCCCUGAGGUGUCAUUCGUGCGGUGCUGGAUCGGAUUGGAUCACGAAGAGUGUACGACUACGCCAAGCACAUUCAUUAGAACGUUUCUGUUUUAGGUCUAGAAGGGUUUGUAGACUUUUCCCCCUCGUUGCUAGCAUCUAGUUGAUUAGAUCUCGGAUGUUUUCAUUGUCUCGUAGGAAAAAAAUUGUUUUUCAUGCAUUGAUUCUCAUCACCGACCUGCUUCAAAAGAAGCAGGUAGGAGCCCAGGCGGCCCGAGCUCAGCAGGUUGCCGGGUGGGAGGUCCCUAACAGGUGCAUCCAAGAAUGCAACAACCUCCAAGUAGAGAAGGCGUCCCUAACCGAGAGGACGAGACAACAAGAGCUGGAGCUGGAAGAAGUUAAGUCUCGCCUGGUCGAUGCCGGGAGCGUCGCGGCGGGCCCUUGAGAUCAUAGCCAGUGAGUCUGUCCAUGCUUCAACUCAUAAACUAGGUGGAAAUUUUAUUUGCCGAUCUGACAUACAAAUUCAUUAUUUCCAGCAUCUUUUCCCGACCUGCCAGCCAAUGCUGUUGGAGCGUCCCUUAGGGAGAAACUGCAGCAGUUUGGAGAGUUAAACAAGAUUGCGAGGCCGGUAAUGGAGGGUAUUUUCUUGGCCCUAUGGCCUGGAAGAAAGGUUGUCGGAAAACCAGUUUGACCUCUGCCGCCGCCUCCAGGAGGGGCAUGCUCGGAUUGCCCUGUGAAAGGCGUUAGUGGCCUGAGAAGAUGCUCGUCAAGCGUGGGCCAUGCUCCAGACCCACUAUCCGGGCUUGAACAUCUGCCCUAUUGCCGUAGUUGGUCCAAAAGGACCUGACGGUAAGGAGAUUAUGCCCUAUGCUAGGAUGUCCGAGCAGGAUUGUCGUUUGAAAAGAUUAUUGAAUAGGCUAGGAGUGUUACCCUGGAUUGUCAAGGACGAAACGUUGAAUAAAAACUUCUCGAAUUUCGCUACCACCAUGUUUAUUUUUUUCUAUACCAACAACAUGAUAGGUUUGCUCCGACCUGUUAGCAUACGCUUGCAUUAACCGGCCUUUGGCUUCAACCUCAACAACCAAAUGUGGAGGCCUUAUAAUUGAUGUUAACGCAAUGAGUAGGGAUCACCAUGCAACUAGGAUGCAAACAUAUCUAUGAAUAUAUGAAAUAUCUCGCAAGGAUUAAGUGGGGGUGUGUCCAACUUGUUUGCUCAUGAAGACCUCAAGCAUUUGAUAAAGCUCAUCAUCGGGAUAUACAAGGAAAAUUAUACAAUAUAAAUUCCCCAAGCUAGUAUAAAACAUGAAGCUCAUGAAACUUUAAUUAGAUGUAAAUUGUCCAGACCAACAAAAGUUCUUUAGUAAGGGUCUCUGACGAGAAUUUAUUUCAUCGAAAGUGUCCUACUCAGCUUGAGCUCAUAUGAAUUUUUUUAUUGCCGUGAAAAAGAUGAAUGCCAUUCUAUGAUGAAACCUUGCAAGGAUUUAUAACAUUUGUCAAAUUAAGCCACACACAAAAAAUCAGAAAUUUUUGAAUUCUCUCUAAAUAUUUUCAGAUUUUAUUGCUCACCCGAGCUCAUAUGAGCUCGAGCUCAGUUAAUCCGUGUCCAUGUUUCAUCCUACUCUACUAGCAAAAACCAAUGGAGCAGACGGUAGUGACGUGGAAAAGAAACCAUAACAAAUUUUUAGUGAUAUAUAAUUAAAGAAACAGAAAUUUACAAUUGCAAAUUAGGGAAUCUUAAUGUCAAAUACUGAAUUCUUCCACCCACUAGCUGUGAGACAUAUCCAUUGCAGUGCCAAAUAAAGAAGCUUUUCCAUGAAUUAAUAACAACAAGACAAUGGUCCGCGUGUUGUAUAUAAUAAAUAGAGUCCUGCUUCGGUACAACCCCCCUCGCAAUAUGUAUAAAGGGUAAUAUGGACUUUUCACAAUCUGUAUCUACUUCUGUACGUAACAUAUACGCCAGGCAGCUUACUUGGGCCGGCCCAUUUGCGGUGGCAUGCGAUGAAAAAUAGCGAAAAAGGAUCACACAAACUGGGAAUCGAAACCGACGACCACUUCAAAAUUUAACUGCGUCCACAACCACUGCGAUAGCAUGCCUUUGUUGAAUGAUCUAAAGUUGGAAACAAUAAAUAAUUGACAGGCUGGGAAUUUUAAAAAGAUUUCAGUAACACUUUCUGAACUGGCGUUUUUUCCAUAAUUUCUUUCUAUUUAUUUUCCUUUUCCUGCUAUUCUUCUUUCUUUUUCAAAAAUGUUCGCGCUUUCAAAAUGUUGUUCCAAAUUUCAAACGGUUCAUUAUUUCCAAGUUUUGUUCAUAAACUAAAAAUAUUUGCAUUUUUGAAAAUUGUAUUGUAAUUUGAAAAAAUGUUUGUGACUUUGAAAAAAUGUUCAGAAUGUAAAAUGUGAAUAAUGUUUUGAAAACCACAAAUAAAAUUGUGAAAAUGAACAUUUUCUGAGAGCACGGACAAAAAAUUAAAUUCCAAAGCAUUUUUCAGAAAUGAGACUAAAUAAAUGAUCUCAUAAAAUUAUUCUAAAUUUACACGAUUAUUUUUUAAAAUUUGUCAGAAUAUUUUUGAAAAUGAGAACAUUUUCUAAAUUCCGAACAAAUUCCAGUAGUCGCCCGACAAGAGCGAUGCCGUUGCUUAGUUGGGCAAGGCCUAAAGUUUUUUCUUUUCUAUUUUUUCGUUUUAUUCUCUUUUUUGUUAAUUUAUCUUUUCACCUUUUUGAACUUUAUGGUUCUUUUUUUUAACCUGCUCAAAAAAUUGAAAUACCAAAAUAAUAGUUUUAAGGAACUAUUUUAAAUUAUGAUUUUAAUUCUUUUUUUGUUUCAAUAUUUCUUAAAUGCUUUUUAAAAAGCAUCUGUUGUUUUCAAUUCUAUUAUUUAGUAUUUAUUGAUUAUUUUAGAAAUUUAAAAUGACAGUUUGAAGUAUCUAUAUAAAUUAUGAUUUUAAAUGACCCCAACAUUUGCCAGCUGGUGGCAUGGCCAUGGUAGGCAUCCAUGCCCCAAUAUUCUUUCAUGGCCUCGUAUGACCAAUUCAAUGCACCAUGACAAGUUGUUUUGGUUUUCGACAAAUUUUGUAUUUUUCUAGAGUUUUCUCGAUAAGAAAAUGCAAAAAAAGGCCGGACGUGUUGCAACUUUCAUACUGUGUCAGAAAUUGUUCAAACCUGGCAUGGAUGCCUAUGAGGGGCAUGCCCAUCUGGUGGCAAAAGUUGGGGCCAUUUUAAGGAUGUACUCCCUCCGUCCGAAAAUACUUGUCAUCAAAAUGGAUAAUAAGGGAUGUACGUAGAACUAAAAUACAUGUAGAUACAUCUCCUUUUAUCCAUUUUGAUGACAAGUAUUUUCGGACGGAGGAAGUAUAAAUAGACCAUGUUGAACAAACUGUGUUCUCGGGCAGAAGGAUUCGUCUGAGAGCAUGUUAGUUCUCGACAUCCUUGAAAUUAAUCCAAUUUUUUUCAAGGGCCUCGUAUGACCAAUUCAAGGCAUCAUGGAAAGUUGUUUGGGUUUUCAACAAGUUUUGCAUUUCCUGGAGUUUCUUGGUGAAAAAGUAACAAUUAAUGAUAGAACAUGUCGCAACGUGCAUACGGUGUCGGAAGUCAUUCAGACCAAGUAUGGAUGCCUAACAUGGGCAUGCCCACUUGCUUGCAAAAGUUGGGGGUAGUCCUGAUAUUUCCAAAGAAAUACCAUGUUGGAUGGAGAGUGUUCGAAUAGGCUAGAAGGAUCUGUUUGCGAGCUCCAUUUCUCAUGGCCUUGUAUAACCAAUUCAAGGCACCACACCAAAUUGUUUUGGUUUUGUCCAAUUUUGCGUUUUCUGAAGUUUUUGUGGUUAAGAAGGCCGAUAAAUGACCGGAUGUGUCAACACUUGAAUAUGGUGUAGAAAAACGUCCAAACUAGGCAUGUGCCUACCAUGGGCAUGCCUACCUUCUUGCAAAAGUGGGGUUCAUUUUAAAGAUGUUCAAAAAUAGACUAUGUUCAACGGAGAGUGUUCGAAUAGUGCAGAAGGGUCCGUUUGAAAGCUCGUUGUUUACUGACAUCUGUCAAAUAACCCCAAAUAUUUUUCAUGAGCUUCUAUGACCAAUUCAAGGCACAAUGCCAAUUUGUUUAGAUUUUUGAAAAGUUUUGUAUUUUCUAGAGUUUUCUCAUUGAAAGUAGGCCGAUAAAUGGUCGGACGUGUCACAACAUGUAAAGGGUGUCGGAAGUCAUUCAAACCUGGCGUGGAUGCCUCAUAUGUCCAAGCCAGGCUCUUGCAAGAAGGUGGGAUCAUUUAUCAAUAGCCUAAAAUAUACCAGUUAGAUGAGUUUAUUUCUAAUUCCCUUCAUUAUCACUCAACAUAAACAUUUUAUUUUUUCCUAACAAUUUCUUGAAAUUUCUCAACAAUUUUGGAACUUCAAAGUGUGUAUGAAAAAUUUACUAACUUGAACACUUUUUUCCAAAAUUGUUAACAAAUUACGAAAGAAUGAUGAAAAUUUCGAACAAAAAAGCAAACCGCGUACUUCUUAAAAAAAUUGUCAACUUUUUUGAAACACAUACAUUUCUUAAAUUUGUGAACAACAAAAUUCGAAAACUAGAACAUUUUAUGAAAUUCCAGAAUAUUUUUUAUAAUUUAAACAAUAUUUGAAAACAAAAUCAUUUUAUGUUAUGCCAAACAUUUUUUCCAAAAUUUGAACAAGUUUCACAAAGAUUAAUAAAGUUCAAAAGUAGAAAAAUGAAUUAACAAAAAGAGAAAAAAAAAGAAACUAACUGCAAUGAAAAAAAUGCUUAGGCCCUAGAAAAUAAGAAUGUUUCCGGAAAAUUUAAGUAUAUUUGGAAAAAUAUUCGUAAAUUUUAAAAAUUGUUUGUGUUUUUGAAUAAUGCUCGCCAAUUUGAAAAAGUUUUGCAUUUUAAAAAAAUGUUCAGAUAUUUCAAAAUUGUUUAUGUUUUCAAGAAAAUGGUCACAAAUGUGAUAAAUUAUUCAUCUUUUCAAAAAAAUCUGCAGUUUCAGAUAUAUGUUUACAAUACUGAAAAACUGUUCUUAAACUUUCAAAAAUAUUCACAAAAUCAAAGUAUUUUUCAUAAAAAAGGGUUCGGGAAUUUGAAAAAAAUGCGUUUCCAAAAGAAGUCCAAAUUUUGAAAAAUGUUUCGUAUUUUUAAAAAUAUUCCAAUAGAUGAAAAAACACAUUAGGUUUUUUAGCUAUAAAAAAUGCUUUAGCUAGAAUGUCCUGCCCAGUUGUGUUUUCCAAAAGAAGUCCGUGCACCAAUUUUGAUCUGCUAGAGUAUUUCUAGUAAAAAAAAAGCUCCUACAGUACGUCUGUUCUAGGUAAUAAACAACUACACUUCAAAAAUAUCAGCAAAUCCAGAUGGUUCUGGUGGCUAUUAGCAGUUUCCCAACCGCUGGAGGUCCUGUGUUCGAUGCCCAAUAGGCACACUAUGUUUUGGAUUUUUGAUCGGUGCUACCGCACAUACUCUCUCUAAUGGGCCGGCCCAAAAUAGACUCAGAACAUGACAGAUCUUCGCGACGUAUUUUCUUGAAAGACCAUCCUACUCUUUAUUAUGAAAAGGUAUAGACAGAUCUCGUCCAUUGAUGUAUUCGGGGGUUGUGCCGAAGAAGAAGAUAUAGACCUAUGAGGAAUUACGUAUGCAUGCUCAAGAACCUAUGUUCGUACAUACAUACACAAAAUCAUAUAGAACAAAAGGUAUGCUCCGGUCAGAAAGCAGAGUCGUACAGCAGAGUUUUGGACAAAAGUGAAGUUCACAAAAGACCUUCAUACGAGAUAGGCCAUUGUUUCAACUCGUAGUUUAGGCCUUGCCGGACUCCUCGCAACCCGGUGGCCUAAAGGCGAUGAAGCUGACGCACUGCACCUGGCGCAGGUUGUCGAAGCCGAUGACACGGACAUAGGCGUCAGGGUACUCCUUCUUGACCUCCUCCACCUCGUUCAGCACCUGUGUGGCGUCAGUGCACCCGAACAUAGGCAGCUUCCACAUUGUCCAGUAUCGGCCGUCGUAGUACCCGGGGGAGCUGUUGUGCUCACGGAAGACGAAGCCAACCUUGCUGAACUCGAGGCAGGGCACCCACUUUGAGCGGAUCAGGUAGUCGACCUGUUUCAGGAGGGCCUCCGUGGAUAGGGGUGGCAGGUAAGACAGGGUCUCGAACUUCUUGAUGCCCUCAAUUGGCCACACCUAAAUGAAUAGAAUGCGCACAGAUGCUCAAUACUUGGUGAUAAGUCAAUUAAUUGUACUAAACUACGCUAGAAAAAAUCAGUCGACAAGCCAAAAAUUGCUCCUUAUGGGCAGCUCUCAUAUGCAUUGCUGGGUUGUUCACAAUCAAUAAAGCUUUGGUUGUACUUAGUGCUAGUAUAUGGGUCCUAUUUCGAGGAUGGGUUUGGUUAUAUACAUUGGGGAUGUUCUGCAAGUGAAUUACUUGCACUGACAAAGAAACUCAUAUCUGUUUAAUUAGUGCCCGACAUACCUGCAUGCACCUGAUCCUUCCGCCAUUGCUGACGCUGCUGAGGCUGCCGCUGGAGCGGCGGCCGACGGGGAGACCGGCUGUGGACUUGAGCCCCUGGAAGGGUGCGACGGUGGUAGCCGAGGAAGCCAUCACGGCGGGGGCCAUGGUAAUGUAUUAUCUGGAGGAGAGGAGGAUGCCGGCUACACUUGAGACCCCAUUGCCUGGUCACCACGCUAUAUAUAGCAGCGUUUCUUUCGUACAGAUGUGGUAGGGGUGGCUCACGUUCGCUGGUUGCCUCGUUUCCUUAUCUUCUCCGGAUCAGUGGAAGAAGCAUAUCCGUCGGAUGCAUUGUGUGUGCUGGAAAUUGUGUGAGGAUGGGACUUGAGUGGUUCGGCCAAAAUAUUUUUCAUUUUAUUAUAAGAUCUGCUGGCUCACUCUCUCGAAAGUGCUCAUAGGCGAAGAAUAUGCGUGUGUGCAUUCAUAAGAGAUGAUGUACAUGUGCCUAUGUGAACAUCCACGUUUGUACAAUGUUUCUCAAAAUAAAAUAUAUGUUUUCUUGGUACAAUUAACUGAACAAGCAUAGUAACCGUCCACAGGUAGAACAAGUUCUUUCCCUCUCGCAUGGCGAUUAGGGAAAGCUUUCCUCCCCUCGAUAUCCGCCGGCGAGCCUGUGGAUUUGCCUCCCCUCUGCGGGAAGGGGAUUCCUAGUGUCUCGUCUCCGGCUAGUAGAUGGGUAGGGUUUUUGUCCUCAGAGGGGUGACACUUGGACGGAUAGCGGCGCUUUUUCUUCAAGUUAGUCUUUCAGGAUCCGAUCCUAUUGAAGUUCCUCUAUUUGGGGAGCUCCGACGUAGAUUUGGCGAGCUCCUCGGGUGGCAAGGUUAGAAUUUCUCGUUAUGUGUGCGAACAAUGAAAUUUUGUGUCAGGGUCUUCAGAUCGAUUCAGGGAUUCAACGGCGACGACUGCCGCAAGAGCACUGAUCCUUAGAGGCAUGUGCAUGAAGACUCACUGGCUAUCAUCGACAAGGUCAUGCUAGCUCCAGUGUGGGAGCAAGAACAAUGGUGUGUUAGCGGCUCGUCUUCGCAGAGGCAAUGGCCAUUCGAUGGUCCAUGGACCUAGAUAAAUUUUUUAAUGUUUGAGGUGAUUUCUGCUUCCGGUGAAUCUUUAUAAUAGAUCUUGUCCUUUAGGCCAAAAAAAAAGAAACUAAACUAGGGUAGUGGCGCUUUCAUCCUAAUAUUACAUUCUUUAACAAAAAUAUUUUAAUAUAUACUAGCAAAAUGGCCCGUGUGUUGGAAUGGGAGAAAAGAAUACCACACGCUUUUAAUUUAUAAAAAAUGGUCUAGAUAAUCUGAAUAUUGGUAGCUACGGCCCAAACAAAGAUGGUCUUUGCCUACAAAAACGCAAGUUCAAGAUUCCACAUGCAUGUCUUCUAUUUAAACACGACUUGCAUGUAGAUUUAAUACAUACAAAGAAAUGGGCAAGUGAUCUUCAAUUUCGUUUCCAAUCCUGAUUUUGCUGAGAUGUGCAUCCACAAUCCGGAUCAGUACUGAUAUGAAAGAAAGAUGGAUAAUGCAUUAUAUUAACAGAUAAAAUAACAUCAUGUUCAGAUUUUAUAUUUUUUCUAAUCAAAUUCCAUAUAUAACAUGUUAAAUUUGAAGUUACGGUAUAGAAGAUAUGAGUAUUUUAAAAAACAUUUAAUAUGUAUUGUGGGUUUAAUGUCAGAAACAUUAGGGGGUUUUCUAUAAAAUAGCAUGACAGACUAAGAAUACCUAUUUCUUUUAUUAGUAGGUAUAGAUAGCAUGUUAUAUAUAGUCAAGGUUUCAAGGGUAUAAAAGUUCUCGCCUAUAAUAUAACAUGAUCCAACGGAGUGAUUUAAAAAAUAUAACUGUAUGUGUCCUGAAAAAAAAACAAUGUUCAGUAUAUAUUUAUGUAACAAUGAGCUAAGAUUUUUAUUUUGCUGAGGGAACAUAAAUGCAUAUAUAGUAUCCCUUCAAAUUUUCUCCCCUAACUUCUUUCUCCACAAUGCACCAACAGGAUAACAAUCCCUCUAGCGGGAUAUACAAGUCAUACUUAAUUAGAUAGACAAAUUCAAUCUUUGGCCAAUAACUAAUCCUUUUUUUAUUGUCAAAUUGAGCAACAAUUAAAUCCCAUAAAUGUUAUCGUUCAAAGAUUGGACGUGGAUGGUCAAAAUACACCAUAAAUAUAUCCUGGUGGAGGGAGUAAUAUUCUUUCGCCAUGCAUGAACUUGCAUCAUCAUAUGUUCCACAUCAUCCAACAUUUUUCUCUUGUGAAUCAAAAAAGAAAUAAAAAAAUUGGAAAUCAAAAAUCAUGAAAUGGAUUUAACUCAGCAUAUAAUACAUACUAAAUUGAGUUGGCUUUAAAUAUCAUUGGUUGUGUUGGGUGCAUAAGCAUUGGGUUCUCAAAGAGAAUUCAGUAAUAUAAAUAAGUUUUAUGGCGUCAAUUUAAUUUUUUUGAUAAUAAUUGUUUUAGGUCAUCAAACAUAACUGAAUAAUCUGAAGAAAGUGUUAUGGAAACCCUUCGAACUAUGUAACUAUUACAUGUGUGUAAUAUGCAAGAAAAAGAUAUAAGCAAACAAUAUAUAUUUUUUGAAUAAUUUGGAAGCAAACAAUAUAUGUAGGAGAUAUAUUGAUAAAUCAAAGCUAGAGUUGCACCAUCUUAAUGUUUGUACAACUGUGCUUCUAAACAACAUUGUAGAAGCAAGUGUUUGCAAGAACCAUACACUAGUAGAAAAAGGGGCAAAUCUGAGACACCUUAGUGCCGGUUCGAUUUUGAGCCGACACUAAUGUGUCCAUUAGUGCCGGUUCGAUUUUGAGCCGACACUAAUGUGUCCAUUAGUGCCGGUUCAAACGGCUAGCCGGCCGCUCUCAUUAGUACCGGUUCAUGGUGAACCUUUAGCACCGGUUCGUGCCACGAACCGGUACUAAAGAGAGUGGUGGCAGGAUGUUGUCAGUCUGGGGCCCGUCCAGCACCUUUAGUACCGGUUCGUGGCACGAACCGGUACUAAAGGUCGACGUACAUAAACCCUUCGUCCACCCGAGCCACUCUGUUCUUCCCCUCACUUCCUCUGUUCUUCCCCUCUCUUCCUCGAGCUCCUCACAAAUUUUGCCCAAAAUUUGUCAAGAUUUGAAGGCCCACAUCCAUUCAAAUGAUCACAAAGGUUAGCAACUUUGUCCUUUCAACUCUCAUUGCUAGAUUAGCUCUUGCAAUGCUUUGUAUAGUGAUUAAUUUGGGAGGAAAUAUAUUUGCUAGUAUUUGAUUUAUAUGCAAUUUCAGGUCAAAAAUAACACUUAGUUUGCAUAUGUAGGUGUGGUUUACUUAGUGCCUUCUAAAUCUCCGUCGUAACCACCGUCGAUCGCCCGCACCAUCCCGUCGCCGGCACCACCUUGUGGUGAGGCUCUUGUUCAUGAAUGUUUUACAUUACCAAAUUGAUGUUUGUGUGAUUUGGAUAUAUAGUUACUCGUAUAAUUGUCUUACCCGUACGUUGUUUGUUAUACAUAGUGCCAUGGUUUUGAUAUCCGUCCCCGUCGGCCCUCGUCCUUGUUAUGAUUCGGAUGUGGUAUAUUCUCUUUUAAAACUAGUUGUUGCAUUUCGUGUUUAUGACAAAUUAUGCCCAUCAAGUUGACAUAGAUAUUUUUAUCUAGGAGGUAUGUGAACCGGAAAUUCCAACCGACCCUAUUGUCGAGAGGUUAAAUUUAGUUGAAAGAGAAAAUGAGUAUUUGAAAGAAAAAUUGAAAAGAAUUGAGGGGGAGAAGAUGGAAUUGGAGUUGCAUGUUGCCGAUGUCGUCGAUGAUCACAAGAUCAAGAUGGAGAAAAUGAGGUUAAAGAUUAGAAAGAUUAGAAAAUAUGCCAUUGAUAGUGUGGCUUGGUAUCAUUAUGUUGUUGGAUCAAUUGUUGCCUUAGUUGCGGUCUUGAUCGCAUUUGUUGUUGCAUUUAAAUUCUUUAGCUAGAGAGUUAUUUGUAUGUUGCAUUUAAUUAAGUGUUGUAUAUGAACUUUAUGUAUGAACUUUAUGUAUGAACUUGUAUUAAUUUGGUUUAUUCGGUGUUAUGUAUAAUGAAGAUAUGAGCCGACAAUGGAUAUAUGAUGACCGAUGCUCUCCCGGGUUCAUUAAUGGCGUGCAUAAUUUUCUGCUUGCCGCUGAGGCAAACAAGCGGGCGGAUGGUUUUAUGCCUUGUCCAUGUGCUGGCUGUAAGAAUUGUCACAAUUACUCUACGUCAAGAACCAUUCACGUCCACCUAUUUGAGUCCGGUUUCAUGCCCCACUAUAAUGUUUGGACCAAGCACGGAGAAAGAGGGGUUAUGAUGGAAGACAAUGAAAGAAGACGACGACAUCUAUCCUGGCCAUGGGUUCCCUGAAUACGAUGAUACAACAAUGGAGGAAGAAGCUGAGCCGGCAAUGCGGGAACAAGCUGAAGAAGAGGCAUCAGAUGAGCCCGCUGAUGAUCUAGUGAAAGGAUCAAUAUGGUUGACUAGAGGGGGUGAAUAGGCAACUAACAAUUUUUAAGCUUUUCUUUAACAAUUUAAACCUUGCGACAAAAUAGGUUGUCUAGAUAUGCAACUACGUGCACAACCUAUAUGAUGCAAUGACAACUAGCACACAAGCAAGCAAUAGAUACAACACAAGUAAGCUUGCAAAAGUAAAGGCAUGAAAUAACCAAGAGUGGAGCCGGUGAAGACGAGGAUGUGUUACCGAAGUUCCUUCCUUUUAAGGGAAGUACGUCUCCGUUAGAGCGGUGUGGAGGCACAAUGCUCCCCAAGAAGCCACUAGGGCCACCGUAAUCUCCUCACGCCCUCACACAAUGCGAGAUGCCGUGAUUCCACUAUUGGUGCCCUUGAAGGUGGCGACCGAACCUUUACAAACAAGGAUGGGGCAAUCUCCACAACACUUGGAGGCUCCCAACAACACCAUGAAGCUUCACCACAAUGGAGUAUGGCUUCGAGGUGACCUCAACCGUCUAGGGUGCUCAAACGCCCAAGAGUAACAAGAUCCGCUAGGGAUUAGUGGGGGGAUCAAAAAUCUCUUGGUGGAAGUGUAGAUCGGGCCCUUGUCACCCAAUCCCGAGCAAAUCAACAAGUUUGAUUGGCUAGGGAGAGAAAUCGGGCCAAAAUGGAGCUUGGAGCAAUAAUGGAGCUUGGAGGUGGAAGAGGUGGUCAACUAGAGGUAGGAGACGCCCCUUUUAUAGUUAUGGAAAAGAUCCAACCGUUAUCCACAUGUUUAGCCUGCGAAAUGCGGUACUACCGCUCCAGGGGCACGGUACUACCGCAAGGCCAUGCGGUACUACCGUGGAGGACCACGGUACUUCCGCGGCAGCAGCAGAGGCCGGGACUUGCCUGACUGGGUGCAGUACUACCGCUUGCGCGGUACUACCGCUCCCCCUUGCGGUACUACCGCAAGGCAGGAAAGUCAAUGCCUACAAAGAGCGCGGAUGAAAUAAAUUAUAUCCAUGCCUACUUCCGCUGAAAACGAAACAGUGCAAAAAUCCGACGCGGUACUACCACGCAUGAGGCGCGGUACUACCGUGGAGGCGCGGAUGUAAAAAAUUACAUCCGCUCCUACUACCGUGACGCAGCGGUACUAGGUAUAAGGGCCACGGUAUUACGACUCCGGGGGAGCGGUACUACCGUGGCCUCCCACGAUACUACCGCGCAGGAUGUGCGGUACUAUCGUGGGGGCGCGGAUGUAAAAAAUUACAUCUGCCCCUACUACCGUACCGGAGCGGCACUAGGCCUGGGAGCCACGGUACUAAGGCUCUAGAGGAGCGGUACUACCGUGACCCCUAGCGGUACUACCGCAGGUGCUUGCGGUAGUACCGCUCCAUAGAGCAGUACUACCGCAAGUACAACAGUAGCCGUCAGAUGAAGCACAACUAGGAUAACAGAGAGAUGCUCCAAAGUGCAAGGGAAAGGAAGGACAUGUGUACGUGUUGAUUCCACCCGAACCUUUCUGACACGAACCCCCUCUUAAUAGUACAGCUCUCCUACGACUCAAAUCCACCAAAGAGAAACGUAGAACAACGCCGUCUUCAACAGUCUUCGAGGGGCACCGAAUCGUCUCGUGCCUAGAGAUGAAGCGUCUAAGAAACUAAAGGCACACGAUUAGUCCGCAAAAGCAUUGUCAUCAAUCACCAAAACACUUAAGGGAUAAAUAUGCUCUUACAAUCUCCCCCUUUUUGGUGGAUUGAUGACAAUACGGGAUUUGCACAUAGAUGAGAUAAUAUAGGGCACAGGAAAACCCCUCCUCUCUAGAAUAUAGACGGGCUCCCCCUAGAUGUGUGCAAUCUAGAUAGAUGCUUUGGACUGCAUCGCACACAACCUAGGAUCAACACUCCCCCUAUAUUAUAGAGACAAAGGCAUGAUAACUAACAUCUAAGCAGAGCAUAUCACAAAGGUAGCACAAUAUAUCACAAGCUUGCUAAGAUAGAUAGAGUGCAUAUGUCUUACACCAUAUGAAGUAAAGCAACCCAAAGCAACUGAAACGAGGUUCAAAGAGAAAGCAGCAAACACGAACGAUGACACAAGACGUGCAAAUCCCUACACUCUCUCCCCCUUUGGCAUCGAGACGCCAAAAAGGCAGAGAGGACACCUACACACACGGGGUGGCUCAAGCAGGGAACUCAUCCCAACCCUCUCCGUCGGACUCCUCGGCAGCAGGGAUGGUCGCCUCGACGUCCUCCUCAGAAUUAGUCCACCUAUAGCCUUGCUUCUCCAUCCACUCGGCCUCUGGAGUGAUGCGAUCCUCAGAACCGCCAGACACAUCCUCACCAUAGAGCUGCAAGAUCUUCUUGUCCCGGCGAUGACUCUCCUUGGAUGCCAUGUGAGUUCUGUACUGGCCCUUGGCUUGCAUGCAGAAAAGAGUCUUCAUCUUGUCCUUCAGCUUCUUGGCCCACGAGGGCAUAGAGGAACUAUGGGAAGUCCUGGCAGCACGGUCCUUAGCAACAUCCUCUACGCCAACAUCCUCCUCAUCAACAGCAGCCCUAGCAGCAGACGCCUCAGCGCGAGUAGUAGUGUUAGCCCAGUUGGACUUGACACAGAGACAGAUGGGAUCAUGGCGAAUCCAGUCUGGCUCAAGGAACUCCUCACCAGGGAACAUCUUCUCCCAAGUCUUCGAUAUCAGCAGAAAAAGAUAAGGACCAUAGAUAGGCACUUUGCGGUUGAACACCGCAAACCGAAGCUCACACCACAUGAUGUGUGAGACAUCAAGUGGCUGAGUCUGAGACAACCGAGCCUUGUCCUUGUCACCAAUGCGAGGGAACAAGGAGUUGCGAAAGAUGCGAUACAUGAUAUCCAGAAAAGAGUUGAGCACAAACCCCGUCUUGCCAUUGGCAAGUGCCUUCUCAACAUAGUAUGGUUGAAGCUUGUCCUUGUUAGCAGACUCAGGAUUAGCAUGGGGGCGAACACCCACGGGAGUGUUGAGCCCGUCAUCAGGAACGUGGAGCAGGUCCAUGAACUCCUUCCAAGUAGCAGUCAUCAUACGGCCAUUGGUCAUCCAGGUCAUCCUCCGCUCCUCAUCAUGGUGAAAGUAUACUGAGGCAAAGAACUGACAGAUGAGCUCAAGGUCAUAGUCAAGGUGAAAAGAGAUCACAUGCUCAAUACCAAACUGCUCCACCAGGUCCAGAGCUUCUCCAAAGUACGCACGAUACUGGUCCUUCCUCAUGUGAUGCAUUUCUAUCCAUUUGACAUCCACAUAGGUAUUAUGCUUAUUCUUGAUGACAUCCAGAUAAAUGAGAGUCUGUUGCUUGUUCCAAAACAGCUCACAACCUUUGACAGUAGCACGAGGGUUCACAUACGGGUUGAGCUUCCUGAGACGGACAAACUCAGAUUGGGGUAUCUCGUCCAUGCCCUUAGCGGGUUCCUUGUGCUUGCUAGCUGAUGACUUGACAUGGCGCUUGGGAGCAGAGGAGCCCUCUGGUGCUUCACCUGGAUUGCGUAGACGCUUGGAGCCCGUGUCACGACUAGGGUUGGAACGGCGAGAGCCACCACCUGAGACACACACGCAAAACACGCACGAAAUGCAAAAAGGAUCAAUGCAAAGACCACGGUAAAGCACAAGAAACACAUAGAAAGUAUACAUGAAAGUUGCCAUGAGAUAGAUGUGAGCCACGGUAGUACUGCCUGAGCCUGCGGUACUAAAAUUUUAGUACCGCUCCAGGGUGCGGUAGUACCAUGCGAGGCACGGUAGUACCAUGGUUGGAGCGGUAGUAAAGUUUUAGUGCUGCAGUGAGUGCGGUAGUACCGCGCCAGAGGGCGGUAGUACCAAACAAGCGGUAGUACCGCGCCAGAUGGGCGGUAGUACCGCACCGCGUCAGAUCCAAGCGAUGGUUUGAAUCUGAAAAGAACCGCGAAACCCCGGUAGUGCUACGGUGAUCAAGUCUAGCACAGUACAAAGUACAAGUAUAAUUCCUACGCAAUACUAUGCUCCUUCAUCCUACUCUUGCAAAGAUUAAGCCUAAGAAUCUCAAGAACACACAAGUCUCCCCCAAAACCUAGAGACAACAAACACAACAAAAACGAGAAGGAGUUGGGGAAAGACCUUGGUCCAUAGCAAGAGCACGUGGUGGGGAGCGAUCCCACCGGUCGGAAUCACGGGAGGGCAGCCGGAGGCGGAGAUCCGAUGACGGAUGCCGGCUCCGUUCUUGAGCGAGGGAGAGAGAGAGACAAGAUGGGGAACGGGCGAAUGGGUAUGGGGGAGUUAGAACUCCCCCUGGCCGUCCUUAUCCCCACUCGUCCGAGCCGUCACGGUAGUACCGCAUAUCAUUGCGGUAGUACCACUUGGGCGGAAGUACUGCACCGAAGCGGUAGUACCGCUCUCCCAGGUGGCAGUAAAAAAUUACUGCCGUAUGGGGGCGGUAGUACCGUGCUCCCCUCAUGCGGUAGUACCGUAGUAGGCUGCGGUAGUACCGUGAGCUCAAGAAAAAGCUGGUUUCGACACACGAAAAGAGGUCUUUGCAAAGAAACUUCUAGCACAAAAAGACACCACAAGAACAUGAACAACCCAAAGGCAGAAAGACAACAAGAAGCAACCGCGCAACCCAACCUCUCAAAAGGAGAGGGGGUGCCGGAGCCACCUAUGUUUGAGUUAGUUGGUAUGGCACCGCGAAGAAUUAUCCUUGGGCCCAUGACCAAAACUCAUCUUUGAAGCACAAGUACCAUAAAAAAUGGCUAAUGUGAAAGAGUUGAUCGAUUUAUGCAUAAUGGGGGGAGGGAGAGUUCAUUGACAGAACAACACUCCCCCUAUGUCCAUGCCUACAUCUAAACUAGACAACAAGUUGAGUGUGGUGGGGGUGCAAGGGUUCAAGUCACGUUGCUCGAAUCAAUGAUAUUUAGCUCAUGCCUUAACUCGCGAAAUCUUGCUUCAUCCAAGGGCUUCGUGAAAAUAUCUGCAAGGUUAUCAUGAGUGUUGACAUACUUGAGCUCGAUCUCCCCUCGCCUAAUGUGAUCCCGGAUGAAGUGAUACCGAAUCUCAAUAUGCUUCGUCUUGAAGUGUUUCACCGGGUUGAGAGAAAUCUUGAUGGCACUUUCAUUAUCACACCAAAGAGGCACUUUGUCACAAAUGACACCGUACUCCUUUAAAGUUUGCCUCAUCCAUAAGAGUUGUGCACAACAACUACCGGCCGCCACAUAUUCCGCUUCGGUGGACGAGAGAGACACACAACUUUGCUUCUUGGAAGACCAACUUACCAAAGAGCAACCAAGAAAUUGGCACCCUCCGAAAGUGGACUUCCUAUCCACCUUAUCUCCCGCCCAAUCAGAAUCUGUGAAUCCUUCAAGCUUGAAGUUAGCUCCUCUUGGGUACCAUAGGCCAAAGUUUGGGGUAUGAGCCAAAUAUCGAAAGAUUCGCUUGACCGCCACAAAGUGGCUUUCCUUUGGUGCGGCUUGGAACCAUGCACACAUUCCCACACUCAACAUGAUAUCCGGUCUAGAUGCACAAAGGUAAAGCAAGGAACCAAUCAUAGAGUGAUAUACCUUUUGAUCCACCGCUUUACCAUUGGGAUCAAUGUCAAGUUGGCACUUGGUGGGCAUCGGAGUAGAGGCCGGCUUGACAUCACUUAGCUUGAAUCUCUUAAGCAUGUCUUGAGUGUAUUUGGCUUGGUUGAUGAAGGUACCUUCUCUUCUUUGUUUGAUAUCAAAACCAAGGAAGAACUUCAACUCUCCCAUCGAAGACAUCUUGAACUUAGAGGUCAUGAGAGUGGCAAAUUCUUCAUUGAAAGCAUUGUUAGGGGAACCAAAGAUAAUGUCAUCAACAUAUAGUUGGCACACAAACAACUCCCCUUUGACCUUCUUAGUAAAAAGAGUGGGAUCAAUUUGCCCUACUUCAAAUCCACGAUCUUGUAACAACUCGGUAAGGUGGUCAUACCACGCAUGUGGGGCUUGUUUAAGGCCAUAGAGUGCCUUAUCAAGUUGAUACACAUGAUCCGGGAAGUAAUGAUCCUCGAACCCGGGGGGUUGCUUGACAUAAACCAACUCAUUAAUAGGACCAUUAAGAAAAGCACUUUUCACAUCCAUUUGUUGUAGCUUAAAGUUGUGAUGGGAAGCAUAAGCAAUCAACAAACGAAUGGAUUCAAGGCGAGCAACGGGAGCAAAGGUUUCACCAUAGUCGAUACCCUCAACUUGGGAGUAGCCUUGUGCUACCAAUCUUGCCUUGUUGCGAAUGAUGUUCCCAUGAGCAUCUUGCUUGUUCUUGAAGAUCCACUUGGUUCCAAUGACGUUAUGGUUCCCCGAAGGCCUUGGCACCAACCUCCACGCCUUGGUGUACUUGAAGUUGUUGAGUUCUUCAUGCAUGGCAUUGAGCCAAUCCGAGUCUUCGAGCGCCUCAUAGACCUUUUGGGGUUCAACACAAGAGACAAACGCGUGAUGCUCACAAUAGUUUGCUAAUUUUCUACGAGUGCUUACCCCCUUUCUUAGGCUUCCAACCACAUUCUCCAUGAGAUGGCCUUUGGUGGUGAGUUUGGAAGCAAUCUUCGCGGCACGACGCUCUAAUUCCUCCUCGGAUGUGGAAGGAGGAGGGUUAACUUGAUCAUCUUGAGCGCCGUCUUGAGCUUGUUCUUGAUCUUGAGCUUGCUCAUGAUCUUGAACUUGCUCGAGGGGGAGAACUUGACCUUGGGCAUCAUUUGGAGGUUCACCAUCAUCUUGAGAUUGAUCUUGCCCUUGGUCUUGUUCCCGAGGUUGAGGGCCUACACUUUGUUCUUCGAAGCGUGUGGGUCUUGAGUAGGUGAAGGCUCCACUUGAGUGGAGCAUUUCCCUUCUCCUUCGGCCACAAGGGGUUCCUCAAUGGGUAGAAUAUGACCAAUACCCAUUCUUCUUAUGGCUUGGGGAGGAAUUUCAUCACCUACAUCACAAGUACCACUUUGCUCCACUUGGGAGCCGUUAUUUUCGUCAAACUCCACGUUACACGUCUCCUCAAUGAGUCUGGUGGACUUGUUGAGAACACGGUAAGCAUGAGAGUUUGUAGCAUAACCAACAAAUAUGCCCUCAUAAGCUCUAGCCUCAAAUUUAGACAAACGAACACCUUUCUUGAGAAUGAAACACUUACACCCGAACGCUCGGAAGUACUUGAGAUUGGGCUUGUUUCCGGUGAGUAUCUCAUAAGGAGUCUUGUUCAAGCCUUUGCGGAGAUAGAGCCGAUUGGAUGCAUGACAUGCGGUGUUGAUGGCUUCGGCCCAAAAGUUGUAUGGAGACUUGAACUCCGCCAUCAUGGUCCUUGUCGCAUUCGUCAACGUUCGGUUUUUCCUCUCCGCAACACCAUUUUGUUGAGGGGUAUAUGGUGCAGAAUAUUGAUGCUUGAUCCCCUCAUCACUAAGAAACUCAUCCAAGGUGUAGUUCUUGAACUCGGUGCCGUUGUCACUUCUUAUUGUCAAGAUCUUUGCAUUAUGUUGACGUUGAGCUUCAUUUAAAAAGUCGAUGACGGUUUGUUGAGUCUCACUCUUCCUCUUGAAGAAGUAUACCCAAGUGUAUCUUGAAUAAUCAUCCACAAUCACCAAGCAAUACUUUCUACCCCCAAGACUAUCAAAGGAUGGAGGACCAAAGAGGUCCAUGUGCAGGAGCUCCAAGGGUCUCUUCGAGUAGAUGAUAGUCGUGGGAGGGUGAGCCGUCUCAUGAAGCUUUCCUUCGAUACAAGCACUGCAAGCACGAUCUUUGGCAAAACUAACAUUUGUUAGUCCACGGACAUGUUCCCCCUUGAGAAGACUUUGCAAAGAUCUCAUAUUGACAUGGGCUAAACGGCGAUGCCAAAGCCAUCCCACAUCAACUUUAGCCAUUAGGCAUGUCGCGGUCUUAGUGGGUUGCUCCUAAAAGUUAAUCACAUAGAGACUGUUCUCGACAUGCCCAACAAAGGCUACUUUAAGAGUCUUGCUCCACAAGAGGGCCACGGUAUCAAUAUCAAAGAAGGUGGCAAAGCCCAUGAGUGCGAGUUGACGAACGGAAAGUAAAUUGAACGCAAGGGACUCAACAAGCAUGACUUUCUCGAUUGUUAGAUCAUGAGAAAUGACAACCUUGCCAAGACCCAAUACCUUAGAAUGCGAGGCAUCACCCCACUCGACAUUGGUGGGCAUAGAUGGGAUCUUUUGGACGUCCACCACCAAGUCCUUGCUCCCGGUCAUAUGAUUUGUUGCUCCACUAUCAAGCAACCAUGAUCCCCCACCGGAAGCAAACACAUACAAGAGAUCAAUGCUUGGUUUUAGGUACCCAUUUAGUAAUGGGUCCUUUGAUGUUAGUAACAUGGGUCUUAGGAACCCAAAUAGACCAUUCAAUGUACUCAUAAGAAGAACCAACAAAUUUAGCAUAAACAUGCCCAUCACUAGCACGGCACAACACAUAAGAGGGGUUAAAGUCGCCGGCUUUGUUGGGAGAGAUGGCUUUGCGCUCUUUGGCAUCACCACUCUUCGCAUUCUUCUUCUUCUCCUUAGGAGCACCCUCUCCCUCCUUCACAAAAGUUUGCUUGAGCGGGGGAGGUCAUUUGGUCUUGUUAUUCUUCUCCUUGUUCUUCUUCUUGUUCUUGGACUUGGGUGAAAACCCAACUCCCUCCUUGCCCACAACUUCCUUUUGAUUGCUCAAAAGGUCAUUUAGGUUCUUCUCACCUUGUAUGCAUGACACAAGUCCUUUCUCGAGUUGUUCCUUCAACUUGACAUUCUUCUCCACAAGAUGCACAUGCUCACAACACGGGUUAGUAGCAUUUGCAUUAUCAAUUAAGACCAUGUGAGGAAAUGUGGCCUUUUCCUUGGUUAGCUUAACUUGGAGUUGAGCAUGAGACUCCUUGAGGUUUGCAUGAGCACUUUUCAAGACCUUAUGGGCCUUGUCAAGUACAUCAAACUCCUCCUUGAGUCUAGCAUGAUCAACCCCAAGCUUAGCCUUCUCGGAAGUUAGAACACGAGACACAACAAGAGCAUGAUCAAGAUCUUUCUUUAAUUUGGCAUGGUCAUCAUUGUGUGACUCCUCAAGAGCCAAACGAUGCCCACGCUCUUCCUCAAGAGCAUUAGAGAGAUCCGAUAUCUCAUCGGCAUAGUCAUGACUAUGACCUUCCAUCUUAGAGAUGGUUUCUUCGUGAGCCUCAAUCAUGUCAUUGGCUUCACCAAGUUGUUCCAAGAGAGCAACGAAGUGCUUCUUGGAUUUGCCAUUGAGCUUACUCAUGAAGGACUCAAAUUCAUUUACCUCCUCAUUAUACCCCUUACCAUCAUCAAAGCCAACCGUUGAAGAAGGAUUAGGAAUAAUGGUGGUUUUGAUGUUGGGGGUUACCUUGUUGGUGGACUUAGCCAUGAGGCACUUGGCGGUGAUGUUCUCGUUGGGUGAAUCGAAAAGAGACACCCGGGGAGUUGUGGCAAUGGCAACGGAUGCCAUGGCCAUUGCUUCACUAUCUUCAUGAUCAUCAUCAUCCUCACGGUAUUCUUCUUGAACCACCAACCCGCGAGUAGGAGUCUUCUUGGUGAAGUUGUUCUUGUUGGGGAAGGACUUGGCCUUGUCUUUUCGGAUGAACUUGCCACGAUUGUCUUCCCACUUCUCGUAAGGACAAUCCGCAACGAAAUGGCUCACAUUGCCACAGUUGAAACAAGUUCUAACUCGUUGCUUUCCAUUGAUGCCACUUGAGUUGUUCUUGUUGAAGUUGGGUCUUGUAUUCUUCUUGCUCCAGAAUUGUCUUAAGGCAAGAGCCAUGUGCUCAUGAUAAUCAUAUUUUGUGUCUUCGGGGUUGCUCUCCUCAUCUUAUUCUUCUUCCUCUUCUUCCACAUUGACCUUGGCCUUCAAGGCAAGGUUGGGCUUCUUUGCCCUUUGAUAACGGAGCACCGCAUUAUCAGCGGUCUUGUCCAAGAUGCUCAUUGCAACGAACUCAUCCAACACUUCACUUGAGGUCAUGGAGUGGAAGUCCGGUCUUUGAUGAAUGACGGAGGACAUGGCCUUUUUGUAGGGCAUCAUGGCCUUGAGGAACUUGCGCUUGAUCCAAUUGUCAUCCGUGUCCUUGCUCCCAUGAUCUCGGAGUGCGACCACGAGUUUGGUCACUCUUCGAAAGAGCUCACGAGGUUCUUCAUCUUCUUUCAUUGCAAACUCAUCAGCUUCAUCUUGCACCACUUCAUAUUUGGAGCGUUGAAUGCUAGAACUUCCUCGAUAGAGAGACAAAACACAUUUCCAUGCGUCUUUAGCCAUGGCAUGAGGUCGAAGAUGAGGGAGAUCUUCGGGAAGGAUUGCAUCUUGGAUGAUGAAGAGAUCACUCUCAUUGAAUUGAUUAUCCACGGCUUCUCGAGGGGUGAAGUUGCUUGGGUCAUGUGGAUAGAAACAUUCUUCUAUAAUUCUCCAAAGAUUAGUGUUUUAAAUGACGCUUGAAACGAUACACCCAAGCAUCAAAAUCCUCAUUUUUCACAAUCUUAGGAGGAGGACCGGCAUGAUUUAAAUGAGUAGUGGGAAUCGGUCCACCAUAAGUAGGAGGUUCCACAUGGGCAAAGAUGUCGGAGCCAUUUCUACCACUAGUAGAAGGACCUUUUUCACUAUUAGCUUCCCCCUUGUCAGAGGUGGCAUCCGUCACCUUGUUAGUGGGAUCACCCACUUUCAUCGGCGAGGUGGAUAGUUUAAGUCCUUCUAGGAAUUCAGAAAACAUGCUUUUAACCUCGGCCGUCAUGGAGGUUUUCAAUGUGUCUAAAGCCACAUUGAAUUCCUCACGUGAGACCGAGGUUCCCCCAUCGGCCGUAGACGAGAUAGGAUUCACAUCGGAGUGCUCCUCCACACCGUCGUUGGUGUCAACCAUACUCUUCGGACGGCAAAGUCCUUAAUAAAGAGACGAGGUUCUGAUACCAAUUCAAAGGAUCGAUAUGGUUGACUAGAGCGGGGGUGAAUAGGCAACUAACAAUUUUUAAGCUUUUCUUUAACAAUUUAAACCUUGCGAAAAAAUAGGUUGUCUAGAUAUGCAACUACAUGGACAACCUAUAUGAUGCAAUGACAACUAGCACACAAGCAAGCAAUAUAUACAACACAAGUAAGCUUGCAAAAGUAAAGGCACGAAAUAACCAAGAGUGGAGCCGGUGAAGACGAGGAUGUGUUACCGAAGUUCCUUCCUUUUAAGGGGAAGUACGUCUCUGUUAGAGCGGUGUGGAGGCACAAUGCUCCCCAAGAAGCCACUAGGGCCACCGUAAUCUCCUCACGCCCUCACACAAUGCGAGAUGCCGUGAUUCCACUAUUGGUGCCCUUGAAGGCGGCGACCGAACCUUUACAAAGGAGGAUGGGGCAAUCUCCACAACACUUGGAGGCUCCCAACAACACCACGAAGCUUCACCACAAUGGAGUAUGGCUUCGAGGUGACCUCAACCGUCUAGGGUGCUCAAACACUCAAGAGUAACAAGAUCCGCUAGGGAUUAGUGGGGGAGUCGAAAAUCUCUUGGUGGAAGUGUAGAUCGGGCCCUUGUUACCCAAUCCCGAGCAAAUCAACAAGUUUGAUUGGCUAGGGAGAGAGAUCGGGCCAAAAUGGAGCUUGGAGCAACAAUGGAGCUUGGAGGUGGAAGAGGUGGUCAGCUAGAGGUAGGAGACGCCCGUUUUAUAGUUAUGGAAAAGAUCCAACCGUUAUCCACAUGUUCAGCCUGCGAAAUGCGGUACUACCGCUCCAGGGGCGCGGUACUACUGCAAGGCCAUGCGGUACUACCGUGGAGGACCACGGUACUUCCGCGACAGCAGCAGAGGCCGGGACUUGCCUGACUGGGUGCAGUACUACCGCUUGCGCGGUACUAUCACUCCCCCUUGCGGUACUAUCGCAAGGCAGGAAAGUCAGUGCCUAUGAAGAGGGCGGAUGAAAUAAAUUACAUCCGUGCCUACUUCCGCUGAAAAUGAAACAGUGCAAAAAAUCCAACGCGGUACUACCGCGCACGAGGCGCGGUACUACCGUGGAGGCGCGGAUGUAAAAAAAUUACAUCCGCUCCUACUACCGUGACGCAGCGGUACUAGGUAUGAGGGCCACGGUACUACGACUCCGGGGGAGCGGUACUACCAUGGCCUCCCGCGGUACUACCGUGGGGGCGCGAAUGUAAAAAAUUACAUCUGCCCCUACUACCGUAGUGGAGCGGCACUAGGCCUGGGAGCGACGGUACUAAGGCUCCAAAGGAGCGGUACUACCGUGACCCCCAGCGGUACUACCGCAGGUGCUUGCGGUACUACCGCUCCAUAGAGCAGUACUACCGCAAGUACAGCAGUAGCCGUCAGAUGAAGCACAACUAGGAUAACGGAGAGAUGCUCCAAAGUGCAAGGGAAAGGAAGGACAUGUGUACGUGUUGAUUCCACACGAACCUUUCCGACGCGGACCCCCUCUUAAUAGUACGGCUCUCCUACGACUCAAAUCCAUCAAAGAGAAACAUAGAACAACGCCGUCUUCAAUAGUCUUCGAGGGGCACCGAAUCGUCUCGUGCCUAGAGAUGAAGCGUCUAAGAAACUAAAGGCACACGAUUAGUCCGCAAAAGCACUGUCAUCAAUCACCAAAACACUUAAGGGAUAAAUAUGCUCUUACAUCUAGGUCGGGCCAUUGCCGAUGCAAAGAGAAACCGCGCAAGUGAUUUGGAGAGGAAGAAGUUGCAGCGCAUGUUAGAGGAUCACAAGAAAUUGUUGUACCCAAAUUGCGAAGCUGACAAAAAAAGUUUGUUACCACACUGGAAUUGCUGCAAUGGAAGGCAGAGAAUGGUGUAUCUGACAAGGGAUUUGGAAAGUUGCUGGUAAUGAUAAAGAAUAUGCUUCCAAUGGACAACGAAUUGCCUGAGAGUACGUAUGAAGAAAAGAAGGUUGUCUGCCCUCUAGGGUUAGAGGUGCAGAAGAUACAUGCAUGCCCUAAUGACUGCAUCCUCUACCGCGGUGCGUACGAGGAUUUGAACACUUGCCCGGUAUGUGGUGCAUUGCGUUAUAAGAUCAGUCACGAUGACCCUGGUGAUGUCGAGGGCGAGCGCCCCAGGAAGAAGAUUCCUGCCAAGGUGAUGUGGUAUGCUCCUAUAAUACCACGGUUAAAACGCUUGUUCCAAAACAAAGAGCAUGCGAAGGCGAUGCGGUGGCACAGAGAAGACCGUAAGAAAGACGAAAAGUUGAGAGUACCCGCUGACGGUUCGCAGUGGAGAAAAAUCGAGAGAAAGUACAGGGAGGAGUUUGCAGGUGACCCAAGGAACGUAUGGUUUGGUCUAAGCGCAGAUGGCAUUAAUCCUUUUGGGGAGCAGAGCAGCAACCAUAGCACGUGGCCUGUGACUAUAUGUUUGUAUAACCUUCCUCCUUGGUUGUGCAUGAAGCGGAAGUUCAUUAUGAUGCCAGUGCUCAUCCAGGGUCCUAAGCAACCCGGCAACGACAUUGAUGUGUACCUAAGGCCAUUAGUUGAAGAACUAUUACAGCUGUGGAAUGGAACAGGUGUACGUGCGUGGGAUGAGCACGGACAGGAAGAAUUUGACCUAAAGGUGUUAUUGUUCGUGACCACCAAUGAUUGGCCUGCUCUCAGUAACCUUUUAGGACAGACAAACAAGGGAUACCGCGGAUGCACGCACUGUUUGGAUGAUACUGACAGUAUAUAUUGGAGUGUUGUAGGAAGAAUGUGUACCUGGGACAUCGUCGAUUUCUUCCGAGCAGGCAUCCCGUAAGAAAGAAAGGCAAGCAUUUCAAAGGUGAGGCGGAUCAUCGGACGAAGCCUCGCCACCGUCCUGGUGCUGAUGUACAUGAUAUGGUCAAGGAUUUGAAGGUAAUCUUUGGAAAGGGUCCUGGCGGACAACCUGUUCCCAAGGACGCUGACGGACGCACGCCCAUGUGGAAGAAGAAAUCUAUAUUUUGGGAUCUGCCCUAUUGGAAAGACCUAGAGGUCCGCUCCGCAAUCGAUGUGAUGCACGUGACGAAGAAUCUUUGCGUGACCCUCCUUGGCUUCUUGGGCGUGUAUGGGAAGACAAAAGAUACACCAGAGGCACGUGAGGACCAGCAACGUAUGCACGGAAAAGACGACACACAUUAGGGUCAGGCCAGCUAUGCUCUUACCAAAGAAGAGAAGGAAAGCUUCUUUGAAUGCCUGCUCAGCAUGAAGGUACCGUCUGGCUUCUCGUCGAAUAUAAAGGGAAUAAUAAAUAUGGCAGAGAAAAAGUUCCAGAACCUAAAGUCUCAUGACUGCCACGUGAUUAUGACGCAACUGCUUCCGGUUGCAUUGAGGGGGCUUCUACUGAAAAAUGUUCGAUUAGCCAUUGUAUAGCUAUGUGCAUUCCUCAAUGCCAUCUCUCAGAAGGUAAUCGAUCUAGAAAUCAUACCAAGGUUACAGAAUGAUUUGGUGCAAUGUCUUGUCAGUUUUGAGUUGGUGUUCCCACCAUCCUUGUUCAACAUCAUGACGCACGUCCUAGUUCACCUUUGCAAAGAGAUUAACGUUUUGGGUCCUGUAUUUCUACACAAUAUGUUCCCCUUUGAGAGGUUCAUGGGAGUUUUGAAGAAAUAUGUUCAUAACCGUGCUAGGCCAGAAGGAAGCAUUGCAAAGGGCCAUGAAAAUGAGGAGGUCAUUGAGUUUUGUAUUGACUUUAUUCCUGACCUUAAGCCGAUUGGUGUUCCUGAAUCGCGGCAUAAGGGCGGUGAGGGAGUCCUGGACUAGGGGGUGUCCGGAUAGCUGAACUAUCAUCAUCGGUCGGACUCCAAGACUAUGAAGAUACAAGAUUGAAGACUUUGUCCCGUGUCCGGAUGAGACUUUCCUUGGCGUGGAAGGCAAGCUUGGCGAUACGGAUAUGUAGAUCUCCUACCAUUGUAACCGACUCUGUGUAACCCUAGCCCUCUCCGGUGUCUAUAUAAACCGGAUGGCUUUAGUCCAUAGGACGAACAACAAUCAUACCAUAGGCUAGCUUCUAGGGUUUAGCCUCCUUGAUCUCAUGGUAGAUCUACUCUUGUAAUACCCACAUCAUCAAUAUCAAUCAAGCAGGACGUAGGGUUUUACCUCCAUCAAGAGGGCCCAAACCUGGGUAAAACAUCGUGUCCCUUGUCUCCUGUUACCAUCCGCCUAGACGCAUAGUUCGGGACCCCCUACCCGAGAUCCGCCGGUUUUGACACCGACAUUGGUGCUUUCAUUGAGAGUUCCUCUGUGUCGUCACCGAUAGGCUCGAUGGCUUCUUCGAUCGUCAACAACGACGCAGUCCAGGGUGAGACUUUUCUCCCCGGACAGAUCUUCGUAUUCGGCGGCUUUGCACUGCGGGCCAAUUCGCUUGGCCAUCUGGAGCAGAUCGAAAGCUACGCCCCUGGCCGUCAGGUCAGAUUUGGAAGUUUGAACUUCACGGCUGACAUCCGCGGAGACUUGAUCUUCGAUGGAUUCGAGCCACAGCUGAGCGCGCCGCACUGUCAUGAUGGGCAUGAUUUAGCUCUGCAGCCGGACAGUGCCCUGGAGGCCGCACACGAGCCCGCUGCGACCCUCGAUUCGGAGCCGGCUGCGCAGAUCGAGGACGGGUGGCUAGACACCGCCUCGGGGGCUGCAACCUCUACGGUGAUGGAGCCGAAUACUGGCAUUGUCCCUUGUGAAGCUCAUGACUCCGAGGUGCCGGACUCCUCGCCGGACUCCGAACCUCCCGCGACCCCUCCAAUCGAAUCCGAUUGGGCGCCGAUCAUGGAGUUCACCGCUGCGGACAUCUUUCAACACACACCUUUCGGCGACAUCUUGAGUUCGCUAAAGUAUCUCUUGUUAUCAGGAGAGCCCUGGCCGAACUGCGGUCAGGACGGUUGGGAUGCGGACGGCGAAGAAAUUCAAAGCCCACCCACCACCCACUUAGUAGCCACUGUCGACGAUCUAACGGACAUGCUAGACUUCGACUCCGAAGACAUCGACGGUAUGGACGACGAUGCCGGAGAUGACCAAGAACCAGCGCCUACUGGGCACUGGAAAGCCACCUCAUCAUAUGACAUAUACAUGGUAGAUAUCCCAAAGGAUGGGAAUGGCGAAGGAACAGCGGAGGAUGACCCCUCCAAGAAACAGCCCAAGCGCCGGCGUCAGCGGCGCCGCUCUAAAUCCCGCCACAGCAAGAAUGGAGAUUUCGGCACCGGAGAUAAUAAUACCCCAGACAGUGCCGAAGACAACCCCCUCCAGCAAGAUUCAGCACAGGAGGACGAAGAAGCCAGCCCUCAUGAGAGGACGGCAGACGAAGAGGUAGAGGAUGAUAAUUACAUGCCUCCCUCCGGAGACGAGGCAAGCCUCGACGACGACGAAUUUGUCGUGCCUGAGGAUCCCGUCGAACAAGAGCGUUUUAAACGCAUGCUUAUGGCCACGACAAAUAGCCUGAAGAAAAAGUAGCAACAGCUUAGUGCUGAUCAAGAUCUGCUAGCCGACAGAUGGACUGAAGUCCUUGCGGACGAAGAGCAUGAGCUCGAACGCCCCUCCAAAAGCUACCCCAAACGCAAGCUGCUCCCCCGAUUAGAGGAGGAGGCAUAUAAACCUGCAUCACCAGCACACAAUACGGCUGACCGACCACCCCGUGGCCGCGACAGAGAGGCCUCUAGGCCCUCCACUAGAACCGUACCCCGGCAUCGCUCGAAAAGCACAAGACCGCAGGGGAACGCUCUGGACUUGCGAGAUAUAUUGGAGGAUAAGGCAAGACAAUAAAGAUCGAUCUACGGAUCGCGUAGGCGCCCCAUGAUACGUGACGACAACCGUCGCGCUGAACGCAGCAAGUCCGGUCGGGCCGAACACAGUAGACAAAGCUCUUUUGAGCUUCGUCGUGAUAUAGCCCAAUACAGAGGCGUCGCACACCCACUACGCUUCACAAAUGAAGUAAUGGAUCAUCAAAUCCCCGAAGGGUUUAAACCCGUGAAUAUUGAAUCUUAUGAUGACACAACAGACCCCGCGGUUUGGAUUAAAGACUAUCUACUUCAUAUCAACAUGGCCCGCGGUGAUGAUCUUCACGCCAUAAAAUACCUCCCACUCAAGCUUAAAGGACCAGCUCGGCAUUGGCUUAACAGCUUGCCAGCAGAACCAAUUGGGUGUUGGGAGGACCUGGAAGCCGCAUUCCUUGAUAACUUCUAGGGCACGUAUGUGCGACCACCAGACGCUGAUGACCUAAGCCAUAUAAUUCAGCAGCCAGACGAAUCGGCCAGACAAUUCUGGACACGGUUCUUAACCAAGAAAAAUCAAAUCGUCGACUGUCCGGAUGCGGAGGCCCUCGCGGCCUUCAAACAUAACAUCCGCGACGAGUGGCUUACCCGCACCUGGGACAGGAAAAGCCGAAAUCAAUGGCAGCCCUCACAUCACUCCUGACCCACUUCUGCGCGGGAGAGGACAGCUGGCUAGCCCGCAGCAACAACCUCAGCAAAAAUUCUGGCAGUCCGGAUAUCAAGGACCGCAAUGGCAGGUCGCGUCGCAACAAGAACAAACGCCGCAUUAACGGCGACAAUAAUGAGGAUAUGACAGUCAAUGCCGGAUUCAAAGGCUCUAAACCCGGUCAGCGGAAAAAGCCAUUCAAAAGAACUACUCCGGGUCCGUCCAAUUUGGACCGAAUACUCGGGCGCUCGUGCCAGAUACACGGCACCCCCGAAAGGCCAGCUAACCACACCAACAGGGACUGUUGGGUAUUCAAGCAGGCAGGCAAGCUAAUUGCCGAAAACAACGACAAAGGGCUGCAUAGCGAUGACGAGGAAGAGACCCGACCACCGAACAAUAGAGGACAGAAGGGUUUCCCCCCACAAGUGUGGACGGUGAACAUGAUAUACACAACCCACAUACCCAAAAGGGAGCGGAAGCGUGCACUCAGGGAUGUAUACGUGAUGGAGCCAGUCGCCCGAAGUUCAACCCAUGGUCCUCCUGCCCGAUCACUUCUGAUCGAAGGGACCACCCCACCAGCAUCCGCCACGGCGGAUUCGCCGCAUUGGUUUUAGACCCAAUCGUCGAUGGAUUUCACCUCACCAAAGUCCUGAUGGACGGCGGCAGCAGCCUGAACCUGCUUUAUCAGGAUACAGUGCGCAAAAUGGGCAUAGACCCUUCAAGGAUUAAACCCACAAAGACGACCUUUAAAGGCGUCAUACGAGGUGUAGAGGCCAAUUGUACAGGCUUAGUUACACUGGAAGUGGUCUUCGGAUCCCCGGAUAACUUCCGAAGCGAGGAGUUAAUCUUCGACAUAGUUCUGUUCCGCAGCGGCUAUCAUGCUCUGCUCGGACGUACCGCGUUUGCAAAGUUCAACGCGGUGCCGCACUACGCAUACCUCAAGCUCAAGAUGCCAGGCCCUCGAGGAGUCAUCACGGUCAACGGAAACACUGAACGCUCUCUCCAAACGGAGGAACAUACAGCGGCUCUCGCGGCAGAAGUACAGUGCAGCCUCUUAAGGCAAUUCUCGAGUCCGGCCAUUAAGCGACCGGACACGGCUAAACGCGCCCAAAGUAACCUACAACAAGACCACCUGGCACGUUCCGAGAACGCGUAGCAAUGCGGACCCAACCCCAGCCCCUGCAAAAUUGCAAGACUGGUCCUUCGCAUACAUCAUUACGCUCUGGAGAUACCAUGGGCAUAGGGGGAGGGGCACGACCACGAUAGGCCCAGAAUGCGGCUUAACCACACCAGGGGCUCUCAAGUGUGUCGUUCUUUUUUUUCUUUUUCUCUUUUUUCUUUUUUUACCCACAGGACUCCGUUCAUCAGAGGCCCUGUCCGGCAGUAGACCUGCCGAACUCACGAUGCAACAGCCAGGGAAGGAGAAAGGCUACGACGAAUAUCCAGGUGGUAUCCAUUACGAGCAUUAAAUCUGUUUUAUACACCAUUCCGCGGCCUACCCCUGGAGGGGGACAUGUUUAAUAGUCCCAUCCCUUGCUUACCGCACUAUUUGUAUCGCUCUGCAUUCACGGCAGUAUUUCUUGAAUAAACAAUGCAGCACCUUUUUGCUUAUAAUUGCAUUUCUUUCUUAUACAUAUGUUCAUUUAUGACAUGUUGCAUCCGUACACUUUGGUACGGCUAAAUACACCAGGGGCUUAUGUUUCCCGCAUCAUGGUGUGAUAAGUCCGAACACUUUCACAAGUGCGGCACCCCGAACUUAUAGCAUUAUAUGCAUCGGCUCCGAAUCAUGUCUUGGGUCAAUAGUUGGGUUUGCCCGGCUCCCAUGUUUUGGUACCUUACGUUCCGUUUUAUCGGCUAAGGUAGCACUGGGAGAACCACUGCGAUUGCACCCCAGUUGAGCUGGGCGAGCGCCUCAAUGGAGAAAGCUAAAACUGACCGUCAUGAUGAGGCGAGAGCCGGUCGCUGUUCGAGAGGUUUUUCUCGAGUCCCUAAAGACUUAUGCCGCUUAGAGCGAGGAACCGGCUUUGUCCGGCCCAGGCGUGGAUAGCGCCCCAAAUUCGGCCUUCUGAACACUAGGAGCUUCGCUGAAAUUUAAAAUUAUAGAAUUCUAUGGCUAGGUGAGAGUGUUCAAGCAUUAUAAGUCCGGUUGCCUCGUUCAUUGUGUUGAGCGUCUCCCUAGAUGGACCCAAAAAUGGGAACAAGAAUGCUCAAAUUUAUCCCGAACACCCCAGCACUCAUGGCAUGGGGGCUGAAGCCGAUGACUUGCCAUCUCUCAGAUUUGAUAAACGGCCGCACAUAAGGUAAUAUUUUAAAUUAACAAGCAUUGCUUAGCGCAUAUGAACAAAGUUUUCAGCGCACAGGAUAAAAAAAUGCGAGUCUACUCAAAUAUUACAUCUUUGGAGCACUCACCCGCAAUAAUGCGGGCACCCUUCAGGACACUCUUAUAAUACAUCUCGGGCGUGCGAUACUCCUUGCCCGGUGGCGGCACGUCCGUCACAAGCUUCUCAGCAUCCAUCUUGCCCCAUUGCACCUUUGCGCGGGCAAGAGCCCGACGGGCACCUUCAAUACAGGCGGAGUGCUUGAUGACUUCAACCCAUGGACACGCAUCCACCAGCCGCCGCACCAGGCCGAAGUAGCUCCCAGGCAUGGCCUCCCUGGGCCACAGCCGAACUAUGAGGCCCUUCAUGGCCUGUUCGGUCACCUUGUGGAGCUCGACCAGCUGCUUCAGCUGGUCGCUAAGGGGCACCGGAUCUCCGGUCUCAGCAUACUGAGACCAGAAGACCUUCUCCGUCGAGCUCCCCUCCUCGGCCCUAUAGAAAGCGGCAGCAUCGUCACGCUGCAGGGCAGAUCUGCGAAUGCUCCUGGAGAGCUCCGAAUUCGGGUAAGUGAUAGGUAAUUCACACUCACAUGCUUGCUUUGCAUGAAAAAUGCCUUACCCGCCGCUAUUUUCUUCAACGCCUCGAUUUCCUAGAGGGCCUUGUAGGCUUCGGCCUUAGCGGCUUUGGCACUCUCAAGAGCCGAUGCAAGCUCGGACUUUCGAGUCUUCGAGUUGCGCUCCAAACUCUCAUGUUUUUCCACGAGAGCCUGGAGCUCUUGCUGUACCUCCGCCACCCGCGCCUCCUGCUUCUCUCGCUCGGUGCGCUCCGCGGCCGCAUUACGUUCGGCUGCGGACACCGCCUCCUUCAGGGUCGCCACCUCGUUCGUGGCCCCUGCAAUACCCACGUUAUCCUUGUCAUUCUUCUUGCAACCAAAUCCUUUUCUGUAAGGUACAAUUUUAAUAAGGUGUUACUCACCUUCCUUGUCCUCGAGCUACUUCUUGGCACGGCCGAGCUCGUUCUCAGACCGCUCGAGGUUUUCCUUCAAAGUAUUGACCUCCACAGUCAGUGCGGCAGAGGUCAGCAGCACAGCCUGCAAUCCCAUAUUGACAUAUUUUUUAUGACUCCUGUGUAUAUCUUUUUAGAUCCUCAGUCCGGCUUUUCUUUCCGAACACCGAACUGAGCAUCAGGGGCUACUGUCUAUGCGGUACUAUUUUACAUAUAUCAAAAUUCUUACCUUAAAGCCUGUUAGAAGGCUGCUGCAGGCUUCGGUCAGCCCGCUCUUGGCGAGCUGAACCUUCUGAAUCACCGCACUCAUGACGGUGCAGUGUUCCUCUUCGAUGGAAGCGCCGUUGAGCGCCUCCAGCAAGCUAUCCGGCGCCUCCGGUUGGACGGAGGCCGCCGGCGUCACGGUCUUGCCCUUCUUACGAAGGGGCCGCCCGCCGGACUCCGGAGCCACUACAGGUUCCGGUGCGGAGUCCGGUGCAAAGUCCGGGAGGUUGUCUUGCGGCACCUCCGGGGCCUCCUCCUCCUGGCGGGUCCCUUCCCAGGAUCCCACCUCAGCAUCGUCCGCAUCACGGGGGGUGGAGGCGGUCGGAAGGGAAUCCAUAUCCGACGCACCCAAGGACCCGCUCGACGAAGCGGGAAGAUCAUCCUUGGGCGGAUUGCAGGGUUGUAUGUCGCAUUAGAAAGACACCAUGUGGCGAAAAGAAAAAUCAUGAAGUUAUUCGGGAGUCCGGAUACUUACGAUCUCGCCAGGGGCUUGGCCCUUGAAGGCCAAUCCUCGUCGUCGUCGCCGGCGUUGGCAGAGCAGUCCGGGGGAAGAGUCCUUCCCUUCUUGGACCCUCCGGCCUCCCUCGUUGGGGAGGCCCUCCUUUUCUUCCCUCCUCCCGCUGGGGGAGAGGCCUCUUUCUUCUCCUCCCCGCCUUCAUGGGAGGAGUCCGCAUUGGAGUCAUCGGGCGAUGAGUCCGAUGACACCUAAAAACGGGAACUCUUUCGAGUACCCGUGGCCUUCUUCUUGGCCUUCUUCUCCCGCACCACAUGGGGUGCUGGAACCAACAGCCCCGUUAAGCGGGCGUCCGCUGGGUCUUCUGGCAAAGGGGCCGGGCAAUUAGUCCGCUCGGCCUUCUUCAACCAGUCCUGUCAAAGGAGAGGGAGUUUAGAUCCCGCAUAGAGUCAAACUAUGGAAAACAAGUGCCCCGUAAAGGGUAAAAUCGCUUACCUCGCUAGCCGGACGCUGCGAGCUAAAUCCGCGAUCUUCGGUAGCGGAUGCGGGAGCCUCGGCGCCCUUAAACAGCACCCUCCAGGCCUCUUCGUACGUAGUGUCGAAGAGCCUACUCAAAGUCUGGUGCUGCGCCGAAUCGAACUCGCACAUAUUGAAGUCCCGUUGUUGGCACGGGAGAAUCCGGCGGAUGAGCAUGACCUGGACUACGUUGACAAGCUUGAGCUUCUUGUUCACUAGCUUUUGGACACAGGCUUGGAGUCCGGUCAGCUCCUCUGAAUCACCCCAUGUCAGGCCACUCUCUUUCCAGGAGGUGAGCCGUAUGGGGAUGCCAGAUCUGAAUUCGGGGGCCGCUGCCCAUUUAGGGUCAUGCGGCUCGGUGAUGUAGAACCACCCCGAUUGCCACCCUUAAUGGUUUCCACGAAGGUGCCCUCCAGCCAAGUAACGUUGGGCAUCUUGCCCACCAUGGCGCCUCCGCACUCCGCUUGUUUGCCCUUCACAACCUUCGACUUGACACUUAAGGUCUUGAGCCACAAGCUGAAGUGGGGCUGGAUGCAGAGGAAGGCCUCACACACGAUGAUAAACGCCGAGAUGUUGAGUAUGAAAUUCAGGGCCAGAUCAUGGAAAUCCAGGCCGUAGUAGAACAUGAGCCCCCGCACAAAGGGAUGGAGUGGGAAGCCUAGUCCGCGGAGGAAAUGGGAAAGAAAUACUACCCUCUCAUGGGGCCCGGGGGUGGGGAUGAGCUGCCCCUCGUCGGGGAGCCAGUGCACGAUGUCGCUGGACAGAUAUCCGGCGCUGCGCAGCUUCUUGAUGUGCUCCUCCGUAACGGAGGAGGCCAUCCACUUGCCUCUCGCUCCGGACAUAGUUGGAGAAGGUUGAGGUGAGAUGUGCGGACUUAGGCGCUGGAGCUCGAGUUCGCGGAGAUGGAUAAGCUACAGAGGAAGAAGGCGUAGGUAAAAGGGUGGAUCUUUAUCCCCUUAUAUGGGCGGACGAAACCAUGCGUCCCCACCGGCCUGAUAAAACUCGCUUAUCUCCCAAGCGUCGUAAUCAAUGGCGUGGUUGGGUUACCCACGUCCGUAUUGAUGAGAAUCCCGGAAUAAGGGGAACACGAUCUCUGCUUCGACAAGACGUGCCAAGGAAACUGCUUCGCUAAACGCGCGGAGGUGGUAUAAUAAAAACGAUUCGAGUAAAGGCUUGGUUGUGGUGUGAUGUCACGCCACAAAAUACGUCAACAGAUUGAACUUGUGUAAAUAUUAUUCUCUCUACGGUGGUAUGUGGAAUUUGUUUUGCAGAGCCGGACACUAUCCUGGUGUUCACGAUCUUCUAUGAAUUAUUCGGAGAGGAACCCACCUUGCAAUGCCGAAGACAAUAUGCGCGCCGGACUCGUCUUCAUUGAAGCCUGGUUCAGGUGCUACUGAGGGAGUCCUGGACUAGGGGGUGUCCGGCUAGCCGAACUAUCAUCAUCAGCCGGACUCCAAGACUAUGAAGAUACAAGAUUGAAGACUUCGUCCCAUGUCCAGAUGGGACUUUCCUUGGCGUGGAAGGCAAGCUUGGCUAUACGGAUAUGUAGAUCUCCUACCAUUGUAACCGACUCUGUGUAACCCUAGCCCUCUCCGGUGUCUAUAUAAACCGGAUGGCUUUAGUCCAUAGCAUGAACAACAAUCAUACCAUAGGCUAGCUUCUAGGGUUUAGCCUCCUUGAUCUCGUGGUAGAUCUACUCUUGUAAUACCCGCAUCAUCAAUAUCAAUCAAGCAGGACGUAGGGUUUUACCUCCAUCAAGAGGGCCCGAACCUGGGUAAAACAUCGUGUCCCUUGUCUCCUGUUACCAUCCGCCUAGACGCACAGUUCGGGACCCCCUACCCGAGAUCCGCCGGUUUUGACACCGAUAGGCGGACUGGAUGGAAAAGGCACGCUAGGAGGGGAUCAAAUAAUAUGUAUGGACGGGCAUUCUCUCACUGAAGCACACUACACAGUUCUACAGAAUUCCGCCUUGGUGACUCCGUAUAUGGAGGAACACAAGAAUUUUCUACACUCCAAACACCCGGAGAAGUCUGACGACUGGAUUACACGUGAACAAACAAGGACUUUCGCCGGUUGGUUGCAGAAACGUGCCAUGCACGAUGGCGAUAUUGAAGAUGACCUAUACUCGCUGUCCCAGUUACCAUCUCCGAAUAUAAUGACUUUCAAAGGGUACCGAAUAAAUGGGAAUACAUUUUACACGAUCGCCCAAGAUAAGACGAGCACCGGCCAGGUGGCUACGCGGUGGGAAUGCCUAGGUGGGAUAAGUCUGAGCAAGAGAUGGAGGGUGCAGGGGUCACUCCGAUUACUAGGAGCUGGCCCCCCAGGUGCAGAACUUGGUUCUAUGCGCAUGGGGGGGCGUUGGACCCGAAGACAAUCCUGGUUUCGAAGAAGGCAAGUCUAAAAGGAGACGAACAAAAGAUACUUGACGCAAUAGAAGAAGCUCGAGCGGGGGUGUUCACGCCCAACAGAGAUAACGACGAGCUUACGCGCGCCCUGGGAAAUCCUGAACACCCGGGAAGAAUACGAGGCAUGGGCGUUAUUCCCUGGUAUGAGGGCUUUUUGGACUGGAACGAUGACUAUAGGUCCCGUGCAAGAAAGAAGAUGGAGGAGGAGAAGAAGAGGAAGCUGGAGGAAGAGCAGAGGAAGCAGGACGCAGAACGCCUUCAAGGCCUAGAAGCAAGGCACGCGGACUUGGCACUCAAAUUCCAGUAGCAGCAGCAGCAGAUCGACUCGCUUAGCCAGGAAAGGGGGUCUCAGCAGCGGUAGUAGCAAGUGGAUGAUCAUCCAUCAUUGGAUAGCACUGUCCCAUCCAUGCCGAGAAGCAGCAUUGGUUCUGCCCCGGGCGACACACUGCUGGAUACAUACCAUCCUGUGGAUGACAUCAUAGAGAACACUAACUGUGAGCUACACUCCAAAAUGAAGAACAUAUCCAUGAAGGUGGCGGACGGCGUUGAUUUCACAAUUACCCCUGAAGCAACCUUCCAUUGCAUCCCGAUUCCAAAGGGCUAUGCUCGUGUCAUGGUUGAUGAAGUGGUGGAGCCAUAUUCGAUGCUAGCACUUGACAUUGCUAGAGGUGACGGCGAGCGCACACUGGGAGAGGCCGUACAUCGUAUCAUCCUAUGGAGAAAGUAUUGCAUCAUCUUUCCAAGUCCACCGACACCGCGUCGUCUGCCGACUCCUCCUCGAAGUCCGCCACCGAGUCAGCAGACUCCCGCUCCUCCAAGUCCACAAACGCGUGAGCCGACUCCUCCUUGAAGUCCGCCACCACCUCCAAGUCCCCGAACGCUUGAGAAGACUACUCCUUCAUGUCCGGCACAGCGUCAGGCCACUCCUCCUGCUUCAAGUCCGGCACAGCGUCAGCCACGUCAGUCGUCUCUGCCGUCUCAGUAAUCGCAGAAGAGACACGCCGCAGCUAUGGUGCGUAGCGGUACGAGUCGAGGUAGUGCAGGAAGUACAGGCGGAGACAAGCGAUAUAAAUAUGGCCCAAGCAUCGCUCCUCUUCCUGAAAGGCCUUACGACAUGACCGAGGAGCAAAAUGCAGCCAUAGUGCAGGCCCAAGUGGACGCCCAUUUUGGACAGAAACCGGCACCGCCGCCAAAGGAGAAAGUGCCUGAGAAAACGAUUGACCACUUCAUUCAUAUGGCUAGAGCACCAGCUCCCAAGCCCGUUGACUCAGACUAUGAGCGUCAAAUCAGGAAGCUACAUCGAGCACGUCUACAGAAGGAAGCGAGCUCGAGCUCGAGCCAACAAGCAGCUGGCAAAAAAUGCGGGAAAACCGUUCCCCAGCUGGGAGAACAGGCGGCGCAAGCGAUCCCCCCGCUUGUUGUGCCAACAACACAUGAGAGGAGUACGCGCGCCAAAUAUUAUUGUGGGCAAACCGUUAGCGUUUCCCAGCAAGGCGAUGUGGUAAUAACGAAGGAGUAUAUAAUGCAGGCUGAAAUGCUCAAGAUCUUUGUUGGACAACUCCUCAAAAUCGAGCCCAUGUCUCCGCUUAGAGAAUCGGAAAUAAAAUAGAAAUAUGUCCGGGGCCAACCUUUGGUCCAUCUAGACAAGGUCAAGGACCUCCCAACGAGAAUGUAUGAAUUGCAUCAAUGGUACAUGAACAUUACCAAGAUUUCCAAUCGAGAGUCCCUCAUGGUGAAUGUCAAGCAUAAGCAUUAUUACCAUGAGAAAGCUCUGGCCGUUGAGUAUCCAGAACUAUUUCAGUUAUACAAUCAAGACGCACUCGACAAGUCUAUCGGAAGUUGCUAUUGUCUGUAAGUGAUUUCUUUCUGUAAUUUAAGUCUCAAGCUAGUUAUGUAGUGAUAAUUUUGAUCAAUCAUUACAUGUAAUUAUUCUCACUAUAUUCUUUUCUGUGGUAUUAUAUGCAGGAUGAAGAUGUAUGAAAUAAAAAAAUCUAGACGCUAUGGCAUUGGGUUCGUUGACCCAAAUACCAUUAAUAAGGACAUAUGGAAGCUUCCAUUUUAUCAAGCAGGUGUAGAGGAAAGCAUGCUAGAGUUCUUGAAGCGCCUCAAUACCAAUGAAGAUAUACUACUUCCUUACAACUUCCCGUGAGUCAAACUGUCUUGUACUACAAAUUCUGUUUUUGCUUACUAGCUAGCUAGAUGUUAAUAAUUAAGUGUAUACGGUUUACGGUAGUUGAUUGAUUUUAUGCACAUGCCCGCUUAAUUAAGACAAGCAAACGUGUGUGCAUGUAGUUGGCACUGUGUCUUGUUAGACACAAAGUUGAGGAAAGAAGAGUUGAAUUACUGGACUCACUAACUAAAGAAGAUAAAGACUUCACCAUCGUGAAGGGGAUAGUCAACAGGUAAUUUCAAUCAUUAUUAACUAUAUCUCGGCCUAUUAUUAGUUCGUCAUUUCCUGAUAUGAACUAUUUAAUAACCCCUUUAUUAAUUUUCUUUGCCGGCGGGCAGGGCAUGGGCAAAGUUCAUCAAGGUGACUCCAGACAACUGGGCAAAAAAGUUGUUUUGGCAUCGACCAAAAGUAAGUAAUUAAGUAGUACUAGCUAGCCACCAUCUCUUUAAUUCUUGUUUCAAUAUCAUUAAUUAAUUAUCAUGCUUGAUUAAUCAUUAUCUGAUUCAAUUCCAUUCUCGUAAAGGCCCUGAAGCAGGCGUCGGGGAAUAAUCUGUGUGCAUUCUACGUUUGCGAGAACAUUCGCAUGAUGACGUCCGAAAGGAGCAGAUCUGAUAGACAGGACUGGGUACGUUUGUCAGAACACUAUUCACACCAUUAUCGAUAUCUAGUCACACAACUAACACACAUGCAUAUUGAUCUCCUUAACAGUUCAGAGAGGUGCGGGAUAAGCUCCUACCAUCGGACCGCAUACUAGCACUUCAAGAGGAAAUAGCCGGAUUUUUGCUUGACCAUGUCAUAGAUCCCAAAGAAGAAUACUAUUACCCGCUACCGCGCCCAUGAACCACUUGUCAUCGUGCACUGGAGGCACCAAGGCAACAUAUGUAGGAGAAAUUGUAUAUGUAUAUACAUGUGGAUGUGUGAAUAAUUAAUGGUGUUGGUUGUGAGACAUUUGAUGAUAUAUAUGUAUAUAUAUGCGGUUCUACGUACGAGAAAAUCUAUUUAUAUAUAUGCAUAACGUGUACAAUUUGUAGUAUCGUGAAAUACCAGCAAAAAAAAUUUGAAUAAAAAAUAAAGCCAAAACCCCCCAAACAUUUAGUACCGGUUGGUGUUACCAACCGGUACUAAUGUCCUACGCGCACACGGGUCUGGCUCGUGCCACGUGGUGUCACUUUAGCGCCGGUUCGUGACGAACCGGUACUAAAAGGGGAAGGCUUUAGUCCCCACUCUUUAGUGCCUGUUGGCAAACCGGCACUAAAGACCGUUAAGAACCGGCACUAAAGGACGGUUCUGCACUAGUGAUAUCUGAAAAGGCAUAUGUUCAAUAAAAAAAGAAAAAUAAUUGCCGACACCUAGUGCAUAGCAAUGAAUCAAAGCCUAUCUAAUUAAAACGAAAACAUAAUACACGGAACAAGCAUAAAGAACAUGUAGAAGGUACAUUUUUCCAUCAAUAGAGCUUCAGAAUUAACUUCAGUGAAACAUUCAUGUUAUCACAAGAGUGUGAUGUGCAUAUAUAUAUUCAUGAAAAACUGGAAGUUCCGUAGAAAAAUAUACCAUCUUUCAAGAAAAACACUACUUUUGAGAGAUCAUACUGGCAUGCAAAAUUGGUUUUCUUUCAAAUGAUAAUUAGGAAGUUCUAAAACUCCAGGUCAUUCUCCAGCGGCACUACUUUCAGUUUUCCACUCCAAUUGUAUCGGCCACAACAUUGAUCCAGAUUUUGCAGAAACACUUAUAUUGUUGAACUGAACUUGAUCUCAAGUCAAUGUUUAGUUUAUAAAUAAUUUCUAUAAGUGAUAUAUCUUUCAGUGUAGAUACAUUCCUUGAUGGUGUGUAUUUCUCAAGACUACUUAGUGAAAAUAUAGCAGACAUCAAAUGAAAUGUAUAAUUUUGUAAUGGAAAAUCAAAAUGAAUGCCACAGAAAGACCCCAAAACGUCAUAUAAGAUCACCAUUAACCAUCCAAAUCUAAGGUCACUGCAUUCGUUAUGAACAAAUUCUUUGCCGCGAAACUAAACCAAGCCAACACUAAUUAUGUUUCAUUAUAGGAGACGAUAGUUAUUUCUUCAUUUAAAGUGUUGAUAUGGCUCCACCAUGGUAUUAGAUGUUGCCUUUUACUAUACGUUGUGAUAUCAUCUUUUUUUCUAAUCUAGUAAAACAUCUUCAUAUAGGUCUCACAAUACGAAAACCCUCCUCCGCACGCGUGCGUUGGCUGGGUGAUGAAGCGCUCUGCACAAUAAGUGAGGUUCCCACCGCGUGUUUCCAAACUUCCGCAUGUCGCUUAAUUGAGAAUGGUGGCCCCAUAUAGCAUAGCAGCCCACAGCCAUGGAAUCAAAUGUCUUGGGCCCACCCCACCUGUUACGCGCAUUUGUGAAAGGGCUAGUUCUGCUGGCAUCACGGUUUUCACUUUCAGUCAUAUAUCUUUGAAUUUCACCAAAUUCCGGUAGACCACGAAAUAUUUACCUUUCGGUCAAAAUAUUUCAGUCAUUUCGGUUGUACACAUGAAUUCAAAUAUUUUUUUAAACAUUUUCAAAUAUUUUUUUGAAUUUCAAGUGAAUAUUUUGGUCUUUUGGUCAAGAUGCAAACCGAAAUUACUGGAACUUAGUAAUUUUGGUAGGUACUGAAAUAUUUCUGAAACAGAAAUGAAAAAAACAUGGGUGGCAUGGCAUGCAGGCCCACCCCGUGAUCAAUAUAAAAUCUCCACCUAAAUUUCUGGUGGGGUGGGGGCUAGUUUCCCUAGAAUAAUGAAUAAUCAAAGGAAACAAAAAUAUCACUGCAUAGUUUCCUAAUAGGGACGUGGACAGCCAGUCGAAAAUCGANNNNNNNNNNNNNNNNNNNNNNNNNNNNNNNNNNNNNNNNNNNNNNNNNNNNNNNNNNNNNNNNNNNNNNNNNNNNNNNNNNNNNNNNNNNNNNNNNNNNNNNNNNNNNNNNNNNNNNNNNNNNNNNNNNNNNNNNNNNNNNNNNNNNNNNNNNNNNNNNNNNNNNNNNNNNNNNNNNNNNNNNNNNNNNNNNNNNNNNNNNNNNNNNNNNNNNNNNNNNNNNNNNNNNNNNNNNNNNNNNNNNNNNNNNNNNNNNNNNNNNNNNNNNNNNNNNNNNNNNNNNNNNNNNNNNNNNNNNNNNNNNNNNNNNNNNNNNNNNNNNNNNNNNNNNNNNNNNNNNNNNNNNNNNNNNNNNNNNNNNNNNNNNNNNNNNNNNNNNNNNNNNNNNNNNNNNNNNNNNNNNAUUCACCCAAAAAAUAAUUCAAAUAUAAUUUUAGCCUGACCUGCCUGUACCUCCACAAUGUAAUGGGCUACUGUUGUUUGCAAGUAAUUGUUUCCUAAUGUUAUGACUGAAUAUGGAUUGUCUCAUGAGACGUAUAGGGGGUUUUGCCUCCUAGGCAGGUUUUAUGGCAAAAUUGAUAGUUUCGUCAUGGAAGGACCGAUGUUUAUGACACAAGCACAAAACAUCACAGAUAAUUCAUCGUAGAAGGCCAAAAUAUUACUAGUACAAGGUAUCUUGGGGAUCAUCAAUUGGAUAUGUAAUUUGCACAUACUUGUGCCCUCUACACAUUCUUUCGUUUAUUGGAAUUUCUGUAAUACUGCAAAAAAAAAUAGUACCUAAUUGCGGUGUAAAAUGGUUAGAAAAAAUGGCAUGUCUUUGAUGAAUCGAUGCAGGAAUAUGGCUCACAGGACAAGUGCAUUAUAGUAGGUUUGUCCUUGUCUUGUUUUGACACCUUUGUUUGUCCUUUUUUCUUCCUUUCUUUUUUGCUUUUUUUGUUAUUAUCUGUUUCUCGUCAAUUCCCUACUGUUUUGCCACUAGUUUUCAAGGGGGUCUCACCAUCUUUUAUGUGUUUCUCCACUCUAAAGUACUUUGCUAUUCCAUCACAAUUUUAGCAUUAGAAAAUACACAAUAUAUGAUUGAGCAAAAAAUGCAUGAGAAGAAAACAAUGCAAGACAUAGGCAUUUCCAGCUGCAAACAAAGUAACCAUUCCAUCGAUUGAUGGCAAGACACUAAUCCGUUGAUUGCAUAUAAUAUAUAUGUGUAUGUAUAGCCGGUGCUAUAAUUCUCAUAUGCAUCCUCCUCGACCUACGUUGGUAGGCGCUUACAUACAUAUGCUCAUAUAUUCACAUAUGAGUAGAACGAGAAGUAAAACUGAGAAAGCAGAGCUGCCGACAAAUGUGAACUAACAUGACAUGUAUAUCAGUUAUUUCAACUUGCACUUUAGGCCUUGCCAGAUUCCUCGCAACCUGGUGGCCUGAAGGCAAUGAAGCUGACGCAUUGCACUUGGCGCAUGUUGUCGAAGCCGAUGACGCGGACAUAGGCGUCAGGGUACUCCUUCUUAACCUCCUCCACCUCGUUGAGCACCUGUGUGGCGUCGGUGCACCCGAACAUAGGCAGCUUCCACAUUGUCCAGUAUCGACCGUCGUAGUACCCGGGGGAGCUGUUGUGCUCACGGAAGACAAAGCCAACCUUGCUGAACUCGAGGCAGGGUACCCACUUGGAGCGGAUCAAGUAGUCGACCUGCUUUAGGAGGGCCUCCGUAGAGAGGGGUGGCAAGUAAGACAGGGUCUCAAACUUCUUGAUGCCCUCAAUUGGCCACACCUGAAUAGAUGGAAUGAACACAAUUGAUCAACACUUAGUGCUUAAAGAAAGACCUAACAAUAAGGCAAAAAUUACUCCUUAUGGUCUUCCAUACAUUGUGGGGGGUCUCGACAAGCAAGAAAGCUCAAGGACAGCUCUUGCUUAUGGGUAGUGUACGGGCAUUAAAAAUGAUAUUAUCUACUCCCUCCGUUCCAAAUUAGUCGUUGCUGAAAUGGAUGUAUUUAGAACUAAAAUACAUCUAGAUACAUUCAUACGUGCGAUAAGUAAUUCGGAACGGAGGGAGUAGUACACAUUGCAAUAAAAUCGAUUUCCAUUCACCAAGUUUAUGAGUUAAAUAUUCCUACACAUGUGAACCUGCUUACGGACUACAUUGUGAUGCACUAUCUAUGUUUAGUUGGCCUGGUAUGUUGGUUACACGUCCUAAGGAUAGCUUUGCCUUUGUGCAGUGGAAAUACCCAAUAAAUUAAUCAAUUGGGCCGACAAGAAUAUUCAUGGCAGCUUAGUGUCCGUCAUCCUUCGGGAAAAAAAUUGAAAAGAAAGAUAACCUCAGCCUCUGUAUCAAGGAUGCAUACUGUCAAUUUUAUUAUGUUAUUCAAUUGUGUCUAACAAAAAAAUGCAGUUUUAAUUCAAAACCACCUUCCAGACGAACAAAAUUGCUACACCUAUAAGUAUGAUGAUGUGCCUUGACCGCACCAUCCUUCGCCAAAAUAAUAUUUAGCUUUCAUACCUGCAUGCAUCUGAUCCUUCCGCCAUUGCUGACGCUGCUGAGGCCGGCGCUGCCGGAGCGGCGGCUGACUGGGAGGCCGGCGGUCGACUUGAGCCCCUGGAAGGGUGCGACGGUGGUGGCGGACGAAGCCAUCACGGCUGGGGCCAUGGCGGAGUACGUGAAUUGCUAGGUGGGGAGGCGAUAGCUAGCUAGGCCACACUUGACUUGAGGCCUCCUCAUGCCGCUCCAGUAUAUAUCAGCAUAUGCGCAGCGCCGGUCCUUUCAAACGAGAUUUCGAAGGGGUGGUCGUCGUUUGCUUGCUGCAAGGCGCCUUAUCCCUCUAGAUCAGCGGAAGAGGGGUGGAAAAUAAAAAUGAAUGCGACGGAAAGACCCCAAAACGUCAUAUAAGAUCACCAUUGAUCAUCCAAAUCUAAGAGCAUCUCCGGCCGUGCCCCCAAUACGGACCCCUCACGCGAUUUUUUCGCCCCGGCGCCGAAAAAACGGUCCAGUCGUGCCCUCGGGAGCCCGUUUUUCGCCGGCUUGGUCCGAAAUCAGUGCCGGCGGACCCAGGCCGAACCCGGGGCGAGCGGUUUUGGCGCGAAAGAGACGUGGGUCCGUCGAGUCAGCGACGCGCGUGCCUCGUCGUCAUCGGAACGCCUCGGUUUUCCGCGUGGAAUCAAUGGCAAGGCUGACGGGCAGCCUUGCCAUUGAUUCCUCACAGGCGGCACGUCACGGGCGGCGCGGCAACGCCUUCCCUCCCGCCACGCGUAUACACGGCGCGGGCUAUAUAAACCGGUGGCCUCCCUUGCCUCUGGCCACACCAGCCCACAGCCGCGCAUCGACCGCCGCCGAGCUCUCCCUCUCUCUCCAUGUGCAGCCGCUCGCCGACGCUUCUCCCUCCCCCCCCUCUCCCAAGCCCGAUGGCCGCGCGAUUCCCCGGCGACGCGGCGGCAGCAAACGGCUUCGGCCGCCGCUCGCUCCACGAGUGGGAGGCCUGGCUACUCUUUGAGGCGAACAUCCCGGCGCCACUGGACAUGCGCGCCGGGCCGAUGGGGUGGAGGCUCAGCAACGGGGGUGUGCCCAUUCUUCCGUUGCCCGACGUCGAGGCGCGCCCCGCCUUCUUCGCCGCCGAGGUCGACCGUGUGUGAGCCUCCCUGACAAAGGAGCAGCGCGCCCUCCCCCAGUACGCCGCCGACAACCACGCGUCGUGGGCGGCGUACUUCCAGCACCGCCAGGAGCAGAGGCUGGCGUCCACAUACGGGGCGCCGGUGGUGGGUAGCGUCAAGAACAACGAGGGCCGCCGUGUAUGGUGGGGCGCCCCCGGCCGCACGCUCCAGGACGUGUUGAAGCACAUCGAGUGCGGCAACGACCCGCCGCUAGCAUACCCUGCUGCGGUGGCCGCCCCGGUCCACCGCCGGAGCGCCGGGCAAUGGAUGCCCAGGAGGUUCGGCUCCUCCUCAACUUCCUCCUCCCACUCCUCCUCCCGCUCCUCUUCCCAUUCCUCCGGCUCGCCGGCGGUGUUCGUCGUCAAGGCUGAGCCCGUAGCGGAGACGCCGCUCGGCCGGCGCACUCGCAGCGCCGGCAUCGUCAUAAAUGAGGGCGCCCGGCGCGCAUCCUCCUCGUCUCCUCCAUGCUUCGUCAAACCGAAGACAGAGCCGGGGCUCGCGGCCGUGAAAACAGAGCCGGGGCUCCCCUCCGUGAAGACGGAGCACGACACCGGGGAGCUCGAUGACGCGGUGGCCUGAAAUGGGCGCGCGAUGACUGGGUGCACAUGGAGAUGGAGCGCCAGCGCUGCGCCCUAGAGCAGUUGAAACAUCAGCGCUGGGGCCGCGACGAGGGAGGCGUCGUCGUCCUCGACGACAGCGAUGACGACGACGCGCCGCCACCGACACCGGUCUUCGAUGGCGACGCCGGGUAGGGGUCCAGCAGGGGCAACCGCUUCAAGGAGGAGAAGGCCUCCGAUGACGACGGCGAGGAUGGUGGCGACGGUGGCGACUUCGCCGCGCUCAGCGACUUCUUCGGUCCGUAGUUGUAGUUUCGGCUUUUUAAUAAUAAAUUUGCUAUGUAAAAUGUCGAACAUGUCUAAUAUAUGCCAAGUUUGCCGAAUUUUAGCCAAAUUUUAGCUGAACUUUGCCGAAUACUCUUUUCUUUUUAACAUAAACGGCGUCUGGGGCGGCCCUGGGGUCGGCGGCUAGGAACCCACUCGUCCCCAGGCCGAUUUUUUGCGCCGGCUCGCCCCCAGCGGCGAUUUUACGCGCCCCCUGGGGGGCCAACGGCUGGAGAUGCUCUAAGGUCACUGCAUUCGUUAUGAACAAAUUCUUUGGUGCGAAACUAAACCACACCAACACUAAAAUUCAUGAAGGAAAGCCAUCCAUACUCUUAUGUUUCAUUAUACGAGACAGUAAUUAUUUCUUCAUUUAAAUUGUUUAUGUGGCUCCACCAUGGUAUUAGAGGUGGCAUUUUCCUAUACGAUGUGAUAUCAUCAUUUUUUUUCUAAUUUAGUAAAACUUCUUCAUAUAGGUCUCACAAUCUGAAAAUCCUCAUUCGCGUGCAGGCGUUGGGUGGGUGAAGCGCUCCGCACAAUAAUUCAGGUUCCAACCGCACGCUACAUUCCCUUUCAAACUUUCACAUGUCGUUUAAUUGAGAAUGGUGGUCCCAUAGUAUAGCAGUCCCACUGCCAUGGAAUUUAAUGUGUUGGGCCCACCCCACCUGUUACGCGCAUUCGCAGAAGGGCUAGUUGUGUUGGCAUCAUGGUUUUCACUUUUAAUGAUAUAUCUUUGAAUUUCACCAAAUUUCAGUAGACAGCGAAAUAUUUACCUUUCGGCCAAAAUAUAUCAGUCAUUUUAGUUGUACACAUGAUUUCAAAUAUUUUCAUAUAUUUUCUUCAAUUUCGAGUGAAUAUUUUGGUCUUUUGGUCAAAAUGCAAACAGACAUUACUGGAACUUAGUAAUUUUGGUAGGUACUGAAAUGAAAAAACAUGGGUGCCAUGGCAUGCAGGCCCACCACCGUGAUCAAUAUAUAAUCUCCCACUAAAUUUCAGGGAGGGGGGGCUAGUUUCCCUACAAUAAUGAAUAAUCCAGGGGAACGGAAAUAUCACUGCACACUUUCCUAAUAGGGACGUGGACAGCCAGUCGGAAAUCGACCACGCGGACGCGCGUGCGAAUUAGCCUCCCCCCGGCAUGCGUGUACCUCCACAAUGUAAUGGGCUAUUGUUGUUUGCAACUAAUUGUUUCCUAAUGUUAUGACUGAAUAUGGAAAAAAAAUUCAUGAGACAUAUAGGGUUUGUGCCUCUUAGGCAGGUUUUAUGACAAAAUUGAUAGUUUCGUCAUGGAAGGACCGAUCUUUAUGACACCAACACCAAACAUCACAGAUAAUUCAUGGUAGAAGGCCAAAAUAUUACUAGUACAAGGUAUCUUGGGGCUCAUCAAUUGGAUAUGUGAUUUGCACAUAUUUGUGCCCUCUACACGUUCUUUGGUUUAUUGGAAUUUCUGUAAUACUGCAAAAACAAGUAUCUAAUUGUGGUGUCAAAUGGUUAGAAAAACUGACAUGUCUUUGAUGAAUCGAUGCAGGAAUAUGGCUCACAUGACAAGUGCAUUAUGAUAGGUUUGUCCUUGUCUUGUUAUGACACCUUUGUUUGUCCUUUUUUCUAGUUCUUUAAUUUGUUUUUGUUUUUUUGUUAUUAUCUGUUUCUCGUGAAUUCCGUAUUGUUUUGCCAUUAGUUUCCAAUGGGUCUCGCCAUCUUUUAUGUGUUUCUCCACAGUAUUUUUUUAAGUACUUUGGUAUUCCAUAACAAUUUCCAUAUUAGACAAUACACAACAUAUGAUUGAGCAAAAAAUGCAUGAGAAGAAAACAAUGCAAGACAUAGGCAUUUCCGGCUGCAAACAAACCAACCUUUCCAUCGAUUGAUGGCAAGACACUAAUGCGUUGAUUGCAUAUAAUAUAUAUGUAUAUGUAUAGCCGGUGCUAUAAUUCUCAUAUGCAUCCUCCUCGACCUACAUUGGUAGGUGCUUACAUACAUAUGCUCAUAUAUUCACAUAUAUAUGAGUAGAACGAGAAGUAAAACUGAGAAAGCAGAGCCGCCGACAAAUGUGACUAACAUGACAUGUAUAUCGGUUACUUCAACUUGCACUUUAGGCCUUGCCGGAUUCCUCGCAACCUGGUGGCCUGAAGGCAAUGAAGCUGACGCAUUGCACCUGGCGCAUGUUGUCGAAGCCGAUGACGCGGACAUAGGCAUCAGGGUACUCCUUCUUAACCUCCUCGACCUCGUUGAGCACCUGUGUGGCAUCGGUGCAGCCGAACAUAGGCAGCUUCCACAUUGUCCAGUAUCGACCGUCGUAGUACCCGGGGGAGCUGUUGUGCUCACGGAAGACGAAGCCAACCUUGCUGAACUCGAGGCAGGGUACCCACUUGGAGCGGAUCAAGUAGUCGACCUGCUUUAGGAGGGCCUCCGUAGAGAGGGGUGGCAAGUAAGACAGGGUCUCGAACUUCUUGAUGCCCUCAAUUGGCCACACCUGAAUAGAUGGAAUGAACACAAUUGAUCAACACUCAGUGCUUUAAGAAAGACCUAGCCAUAAGGCAAAAAUUACUCCUGAUGGUCUGUCCAUACAUUGUGGGGGUCUCCACAAGCAAGAAGGCUCAAGGGCAGCUCUUGCUUAUGGGUAGUGUACGGGCAUUAAAAAUGAUAUUAUCUAGUACACAUUGCAAUAAAAACGAUUUCCAUUCACAAAGUUUAUGAGUUAAAUAUUCCUACGCAUGUGAACCUGCUUAUGGACUACAUUGGGAGGUUUAGUUUGGCCUGGUACGUGGGUUACACGUCUAAAGGAUAGCUUUGCCUAUAUGCAGUGGAAAUACCUGAUAAAUUAAUUAAGUGUGACGACAAAAACAUUCAUGAGAGCUUAGUGUCCGUAAUCCUUUGCCAAAAAAAAAUCAAAAAGGAGGAUAUCCCAACCUCUGCAUCAAGCGAUGCAAACUGUCAUUUUGAUUAUGUUAUUCAACAUAGUCUAACAAAAUAAAUACGAUUUCAAACCAAAACCAUCUUCCAGUCGGACAAAAUCGCUACACCUACAAAUACGAUGAUGUGCCUUGACCGCACCAUCGUUGGCAAAAAUAAUAUUCAGCUUUCAUACCUGCAUGCAUCUUAUCCUUCCGCCAUUGCUGACGCUGCUGAGGCCGGCGCUGCCGGAGCGGCGGCUGACGGGGAGGCCCGCGGUCGACUUGAGCCCCUGGAAGGGCGCGACGGUGGUGGCGGAGGAAGCCAUCAUGGCGGGAGCCAUGGCGGAGUACGUGAAUUGCUAGGUGGGGAGGCGAUAGCUAGUUAGGCCACACUUGUCUUGAGCCCCCCUCAUGCCGCUCCAGUAUAUAUCACAAUAUGCGCGGCGCCGCUCCUUUCCAACAAGAUUUUGAAGGGGUGGUCGUUGUUUCCCUGUUGCAGAACGCCUUAUCCCGAGGGAUCAGCGGAAGAGGGGUGGCCCUCCGAUGCAUUGCGUCUGGCUGCUGCAUUGGCAAACGAAAUUUAUAUCAGUCCGAUUACUAAGCAUUACAAUAAUUGUGCGAUCGUUAGAUUUGGGCCUGCGCCUUUCUUAGUCUUCAUCUAUGGCUUCCAGUAAUUUUGAUUUAUUUUGUUUCCGGAAAGUUACUGCUCCCAGAAAUUACUCCUCCAAGAUUUGUGUGUAAUUGCACCGGUGGCGCUUGAACUUGCCAUCCAUGUUCACUUUAGCGUCUGAACUUAAAAAAUACGUCCAACUGGUUAUAGUACUUGGCACUCUUGUUCAAAUAUGGUAGAAGAUGCGGGGCGGAGUGACGAAUGAAUGAAGAAGAUGCACCCUAGGCCUGUAUAAGUAGUGCGCCAAGUUAGCCACAUGGAUAUUGCGCACUGUCCGAUGACGUGUAACCAUCCACGUGCCGCCUAGUACAUGGAUAGAUAGGUGGCGAAACACAGACCAACACAUAAUGAUCGCACUUUGAUAGUAUAGGGGAUCGUAGCAGUCCUCAAUCUGAUGAGACCACCUAUUAAGGGGUAGGAUCAUCAACACCCAACAAGCUACAACACAUGGGGAUCCUAAUGCAAGAUGCUCACCUACCAAACAUAGUCGACUUGACAAACCACUUGGAUGAUACCAAGUCACUCGAACGGGUCAAGUACACUAGCUCAUUUGGAUGGAGUUCAUCAAUGUUCGAAUACACCAAACACUUGGAGGCACAAAGUAGAACAUGCAGAGAAGGCACCUGGGGCGUCGUGUAAUUUUAUAGAACUAGCAUUACUAACUUUAUUACAUCAAUUACCUCUUGUAGUGUAUCUAAUAAUUAGACAUCUUUAAACCCUUGUAACGACAAAGGUCAGGGGACGUGGCUCACUGUAUGUAAGCCAUAUCUCCAUAAUAGGGGGUCUGUCAGGGUUACGAUCGUGACAAUGAGUACUGGGGGUGCGAAAAAUGGGCAGAGCCUAGCUACAGCGCAGGUGUAACACUUGGUGUUUAACGAGUUCAGACCCCUCUCAGAGGAGGUAAUAGCACUACGUAUCGUGCCUUGAGCCUUUGUUUUCUUGAGAGGUAUGAUUACUGAGAUUGCUUAGCCCUUGUACACGAGAGGGGGGGGGGACUUAUAUAGAGUGUGUCGUUGCCCCGCCAUUCCCACGUCGCAAGGGUGGAUUUAAUGUCGUAACUACUGCAGUUACAAGUAUAAAUGGCCACAACUGCAGCAGUUACAGGUAACGGUAGCCCUGACUCUACUUUAAGGAUGACUUAGGAUUCCUCGACCAUUACAGAUCCCACGUCAUCCCUUCACCUCUCUUGCCCGAGUGAUGGUGGUCAUGUCGAUUGAAGGGUGGUCAUCCGAGUGUCGUCGAGGUGUCCGAGUGGACCUCUUGAUGUUCACAUAUGAAUGCUUGUGUGGUCCUGAGACCCACCAAUGAUGGUGUGGGGCCCUAGGUGGGCCCUAUAUGACAGGUCCAUGACCCUACUUGUAGUAGGUGACCUCAUCAUUAGACAUAGAAUCAAUUGAGGUUUUGUAUGGCAAACGGACUGAGCUUUCGGUUAGGUCCCAAUGCUUCUGGAGCACUCGGAAUAUGUUUUUCGGAAUCGUGGUCCGCCGCUCCUUAGACGAAAACACAACGGAUUCUGGACCAAAGGGUUUCCCAGAUGACCGGGUGUUGUUUAUCGCUGAGAAAAACCUGGUGGUAUUUAUUUGUCUCUAAGAGGAGAUAGACUUGAGGUCCAAGUGAGGACAUGCCAUUACAAUCCGAGUGGAGACGCCAGCGUGUGGUCUGACUCUCCAGGGAGAUGCCACUCCUUAUCCUAGAGGAACUCUAUGGAAGACCUUGGUUCGUUCAUCUCGUCUUCAAACACCAUGCAGUUCUUGGACAUAAAGGAGGGAAUGAUUCUUGUAGGUAAAGUGUACAAGACUCUGCAGAUUGAAAAUCUAAUCGAUUAGUCGUGUCCCCGGUUACGGACAUCUGAGCCUAUGGAAUUGGAGUUAUUCGGAAUUCUCAACACCAAACAUAAUUAAUUAAUUGAUGGUUUAUUAAUGAUUUCGGGUAUGAGACACUGGUUGGCGGAACCAUCUCAAUAACAACAAAUAUUUUGUAGUAAUUGCAAGCAAGUCCUUUUGUUGUAGGGAAAAAAUUGCUUCUCGCAGAAACUUAAACUUAGGGCCCCACAGCCAAAAUUGCAUAUAGUGAUAGCAUUUAUUUAUUGGUCUCCCUAUAUGACUUGCCGGCAUAUUCAAAAUGCUAACCUACAUGACCACACCAUCUUAUGUUGCAUAGGAUUACUCCGACCAGGACUGAGGAUACGAUCCACAGUCGAUGAUUGCCUUAGGAGUCGGAUGGACUCGCUUAUCGUCCACACUUCCGCAGUAGUUUUCUCAUGAGUUGUCCUUUGGCUGAAUUUAUUCUGAUGUAAUAAAGACUCCAUAUGAGAUUCAUGUAAUAAAUCAAGUGUGACUGAACUUUGAUAUUUUCAUCAAUGUACUGUGUGUGCCAGCAUGAUCUUGGGAUGGUACUGAUACAUAGAGAAUUGGCCGUUUUCGGGUCGGGUUGCUACAGUGACUUGCUAAUAAUACAUAGUGAUGUAUGCGGUCCAGUCAGUGUGAAGUACACAUUGGAUAUCAUUAUUUCCUAACCUUCAUAGAUUAUUUAAGUAGAUAUGGGUAAAUUUACUUAAUGAAACACACCAUUGAAAAAGUUCAAGGAGUUUCAGAGUGAAGUAGAAAAUCAUCCUAAUAAGAAGGUAAAACUUCUAUGAUCUGAUCAUGGAGGUGAAUACCUGAGUUAUGAUUUUGAUAUGCAUUUAAAACAAUGUGGAAUUGUUUCACAACUCACUCUACCUGGAACACCACAUCGUAAUGGUGUUUUCGAAUGUUGUAAUCGUACUCUAUUAGAUAUGGUCGUUCUAUGAUGUCUCUUACCGAUUUGUCACUAUCAUUUUAGGGUUAUGCAUUAGAGAUAGCCGCAUUCACUUUAAACAGGGCACCGUCUAAAUCCUUUCAAAAGACACUCUAUGAAUUAUGGUUUGGCAAGAAACCUAAGCUAUCGUUUCUUAAAGUUUGGGGAUGCGACAAUUAUGUCAAGGGGCUACAACAUGAUAAGCUCAAACCCAAAGCGGAAAAAUGUGUCUUGAUAGGAUACCCUAAAUAGAUAAUUGGGUAUACAUGCAAUCACAGAUCCAAGGGCAAGAUCUUUGUUUCCAAAAAUGUAUCCUUAAUGGAGAAAGAGUUUCUCUCAAAAUAAGUGAGUGGGAGGAAUGUAGAGCUUGAUGAGGUUAUCAAACCUUCUCUCAAAUUAGAGAUUACCAAGUGUGAACUCUGGUGGACUUACCCGAUGACUGAAGGCCAUUGAAAACAAAUGGAUCUUUAAGAAGAAAAUAGACAUUGAUGGUAAUGUCACUACCUAUAAAGCUCGACAUGUCACAAAAGGUUAUCCACAAGUUCAAGGGGUUGACAAUGAUGAGACUUUCUCGACCGUAACGAUGCUAAACUUUUUUAGCAUUAUGUUAGCAAUUGCUGCAUUUUUGGACUAUGAAAUCUGACAGAUGGAUGUCAAAACUAUGUUCCUUAAUGGUCAUGUUAAGCAAGAGUUGUAUAUGAUGCAACAUAAUAAGGUAUGCAAGUUCCAGCGAUCCAUUUAUGGACUGGUGCCAGCAUUCUCGACUUGGAAUCUUCACUUUGAUGAGGUGAUCAAAGCUUUUGGUUUUAUCCAAGCUUAUGGAGAAGCUUAUAUUUACAAGAAAGUGAGUGGAAUCUCUGUAGCAUUUCUAAUACUAUAUGUGGAUGACAUAUUAAGUAUUGGCAAUGAUGUAGAUCUUCUGGAAAGCAUAAAUGGAUAUUUGAACAAGAGUUUUUCAAUGAAAGACCUCGGUGCAACAACUUACAUAUUGGGAAUCAAGAUCUAUAGAGAUAGAUCAAGACGCCUGAAAGGACUUUCACAAAGUACAUACCUUGACAAAGUGGAAGAAGUUCAAAAUGGGCCAGUUCAAAGAAUGGGUUCUUGCCCAUGUUGCAAGGUAUCAAGUUGAGUAAGACUAAAUGCCCAGCUAUGGCAGAAGAAAUAGUAAAGACGAGAGCCGUCCACUAUGCCUCAGCCAUAGGCUCUAUCAUGUAGGUCAUGAUGUGUAGUAGACUUGAUGUGUGCCUUCCCACUAGUAUGAAUGGUAGGUACCAGAGUGAUCCAAGAGUGGAAAACUGGACAACAGUCAAAUAUCAUUAAGUGCCUAAAGAGGACUAAGGAGAUGUUUCUCAUUUAUGCAGGUGAUGCAGAGCUUGUCAUAAAAGUUUAUGUCGAUGCUAGAUUUGACACUGAUCCGAAUGACUCAAAAUGUCAAUUCACAUAUGUAUUUAUUUUGAAUGGUGGGGAAGUCAGCCGGAGUAGCUCCAAGCAAAGCGUUGUAGCAGUAUCAACAUGUGAGGCGGAAUAUAUAGCUGCCUUGAAAGUGGUGCGGGAAGGAGUCUAGAUGAUGGUUUUCAUAUCUAAACUAGGUGUGGUUCCUAGUGCAUCGGAUCCCAUGACUAUCUAUUGUGACAACAUGGGUGCCAUUGUCAUAGCCAAGAAGCCAAGGUUUUACACAAAAACUAAGCAUAUAAAUGCCGCUUCAACUCCAUCCGUGACUAUGUCAAGGAAGGAGACAUAGAGAUUUGCGAAAUUCACACAGAUCUCAAUGUUGAAGAUGAUGACCCACAAGUAUAGGGGAUAAAUCGUAGUCCUUUCAAUAAGUAAGAGUAUCGAACCCAACGAGGAGCAAAAGGAAAUGAGGAGUUGUUUUCAGCCAGGUAAUUUCUGCAAGCACUGAAAUUGUCGGUAACAUGUAGUUUGAUAGUAAGAUAAUUUCUAACGGACAAGUAACGGUACAUAAAGUGAAGUAAGAUAGCCCAAUCCUUUUUGUAGCAAAGGAAAGUACAAAACGAUCUCUUAUAAUAAGCAAAGCAUCCUUGAGGGCACACUGGAAUUUCAUCUAGUCACUUUCAUCAUGUUGGUUUGAUUCGCGUUCGCUACUUUGAUAAUUUGAUAUGUGGGUGGACCGGUGCUUGCGUGAUGUUCUUACUUGAACAAGCCUCCCACUUAUGAUUAACCCUCUCGCAAGCAUCUGCAACUCAGAAAGAAGAAUUAAGAUAACAAUCUAACCAUAGCAUUAAACAUAUGGAUCCAAACCAGCCCCUUACGAAAUAGCGCAUAAACUAGGAUUUAAGCUUCUCUCACUCUAACAACCCAUCAUCUAAUAACUAUUCCACAAUGCAUUCCCUUAGGCCCAAAGAUGGUAAAGUGUCAUGUAACGACGUUCACAUAACACCACUCAAGGAACCAUAACAUACAUAUCAUCAAAAUAUCGAACGAAUACCAAAUUCACAUGAUUACUUGCAACAUGACUUCCCCCGUGGCAUCAAGAACAAGGACAACUACUCACAAAUAAUAUUCAUGCUCAAGAUUCGAGGGGUAUUAAAUAGCAUAAUCGAUCUGAACAUAUAAUCUUCAAAUAAACCAUAUAGCAUCAACUACAAGAUGUAAUCAACACUACUAGUCACCCACAGGUACCAAUCUGAGGUUCUGGUACAAAGAUUGAACACAAGAGAUGAACUAGGGUUCUCAGAUGAGAUGGUUAUGUUGAAGAUGUUGAUAAAGAUUGGCCUCCCAAAGAUAAGAGGAUUGUUGGUGAUGACGAAGGCUUCGAUUUCCCCAUCCGCGAGGGAUGUUCUCCCGGCGAAAUCGCUCCAUCGGAGGGCAAAAGUGCUCCUGCUCAAGUUCCGCCUUGAGACGGUGGCACUCCAUCCCGAAAGUCCUCUCUUUGUUUUUACUAGGUCAAAAGACCUUAUAUACUAGAAGAUGGGCACCGAACGUGGGGCGGGGUGCCCACCACCCACCAGGGCACACCUGGAGGGGGUGGCGUGCCCUGGUGUCUUGUGGCCACCUGGCAGUCCCCUCUGGUAGUUCUUUUCUCCAAUAUUUCUUAUUUAUUCCAAAAUAAUUCUCCGUAAAAUUUCAGCUCAUUUGGAGAUGCGCAGAAUAGGUAUCUCUGACAUAGUUUUUUCAGGUCUAGAAUUACAGCUAUCGGCAUUCUCUCUCUUUGUGUAAACGUUGCAUAUUACGAGAAAAAAUGUAUUAGAAUUACUCCAUAAAGUGUUAUAAAACAUAAAAACACUAUAAAUAUAUGAUUUUGUCAUGAAAAAUCUAAAUGAAUGCCACGGAAAGACCCCAAAAUGUCAUAUAGGAUCACCAUUGAGCAUCAAAAUAUAAGGCCACCUCAUUCGUUAUGAAGAAAUCCUUUGCCAUGAAAGUAAACCACGCUAACACUAAAAUUCAUGAAGUAAAGUCAUCCAUAGUCUUAUGAUUCAUUACAUGAAAUUAAAGAAAGUGAUGGUAUGGCUCUACCGUGUGUUAGAUGUGGCCUUUCCCACGACGAUGUGGUAUCAUCAUUUUUUUCUAAGUUAGUAAAAGGUCUUACAUAUUGGUUUCAGAAUCCAAAAAGACUCCUUCAGCUGCGCGUUGGGACAGGCGAAGCGCUCCGUAGAAGCAGUCAGGUAGUAUAGCAGCCGACUAUGUUCCUUUUCAAACUUUCGCAUGUUGUUUAACUGAAAAUGGUGGCCCCACGUAGUAUAGCAGCCCACCUACUAGACGCAUUCCCUAACCCUUCGUGACAGCCAGUUGGAAGUUGAUCGCGUGGGACAUGUGCGCGUGAAUUAGCCUCCCCUCACAGUCAUCCACCCCCAAAAAUAAUACAAAUUAAUAUAAUUUCAGCCAUGUUAGAGACAUGUGUGUACCUCCACAAUGUAAUUGGCUAUUGUUGUUUACAACUAAUUGUUUCCUAAUUUUAUGACUGGAUAUGGAUUUUGUCAUGAAACAUACAGGGUUUGUGCCUCCUAGGUAGGUUUAUGACAAAAUGAUAGUUUCGUCAUGGUAGGACCGAUGUUUAUGACACAAACACAAAACAUCACAGAUAAUUCAUCGUAUAGAAGGCCAAAAAUUACUAGUGCAAGAUAUCUUAGGACUCGUAAAUUGGAUAUGUAAUUUGCACAUAUUUGUGUCCUCUACACGUUCUAUGGUUUACUGGAAUUUCUGCAAUACUGCAAAAAAGAAGUAUCUAAUUGCGGUGCAAAAUGGUUAGAAAAGGUGACAUGUCUUUGAUGAAUCGAUGUUGGAAUGUGGCUCACAAGACCAGUACACUAUGGUAGGUUUGUCCUUGUCUUGUUUUGACACCUUUUGUUUGUCCUUUUUACUAGUUUUUAAUUUGGAUUUUGGCCUUUUAUCAUCUGGUUCUCGUCAAUUUCCUACUGUUUUGCCACUAGUUUUUUUACGGGGAGUUUUGCCACUAGUUUUCAAGUGGUUCUCGCCAUCUUUUUAUGUGUUUCUCCACAAUAUUUUUUGAUGUACUUUGGUAUUCCAUAACAAUUUUCACACUAGAUAAUACACAACAUAUGAUUGAGCAAAAAAUGCGUGAGAAGAAAACAAUGCAAGACAUAGGCAUCUCGAGCUGCAAACAAAGUAACAUUUCCAUCAACCGAUGGCAAGACAAUAAUCCGCGGAUUGCAUAUAAUAUAUGUGUGUAUGUAUAGCCGGUGCUAUAAUUCUCAUAUGCAUCCUCCUCGACCUACGUUGGUAGGUGCUUACAUACAUAUGCUCAUAUAUUCACAUACGAGUAGUACGAGAAGUAAAACCGAGAAAGCAGAGCUGCCGACAAAUGUGAACUAACAUGGCAUGUAUAUGCGUUACUUCAACUUGCACUUUAGGCCUUGCCAGAUUCCUCGCAGCCUGGUGGCCUGAAGGCAAUGAAGCUGACGCACUGCACCUGGCGCAUGUUGUCGAAGCCGAUGACGCGGACAUAGGCAUCAGGGUACUCCUUCUUGACCUCCUCCACCUCGCUGAGCACCUGCGUUGCGUCGGUGCACCCGAACAUAGGCAGCUUCCACAUUGUCCAGUAUCGACCGUCGUAGUAGCCGGGGGAGCUGUUGUGCUCACGGAAGACGAAGCCAACCUUGCUGAACUCGAGGCAGGGCACCCACUUGGAGCGGAUCAGGUAGUCGACCUGCUUUAGGAGGGCCUCCGUGGAGAGGGGUGGCAAGUAAGACAGGGUCUCGAACUUCUUGAUGCCCUCAAUCGGCCACACCUGAAUAGAUGGAAUGAACACAAUUGAUCAACACUUGGUGCUUAAAGAAAGACCUGGCCAUAAGUCAAAAAUUACUCCUUAUGGUCUGCCCAUACAUUGUGGGGGGUCUCCACAAGCAAGAAGGCUCAAGGGCAGCAGCUCUUGCUUCAGGUUCAGGGUAGUGUACGGGCAUUAAAAAUGAUAUUAUCUAGUACACAUUGCGAUAAAAUCAAUUUCCGUUCACAAAGUUUAUGAGUUAAAUAUUCCUACACAUGUGAACCUGCUUACGGACUACAUACAUUGUGAUGCACCAUCUUAGUUUACUUUGGCCUGGUGUGUGGGUUACACAUCCUAAUUAAGGAUAGCUUUGGCUAUGUACAGUGGAAAUAUCCGAUAAAUUAAUCAACUGUGCCGACAAGAAUAUUCGUGUGAGCUUAGUGUUCGUCCUACCUCGCAAAAAUAAUACUCUGUCCGAUACAAAAUAAGUGUUGCUGUUUUGUAUUAAGAUUACCGAGGAAGUAAUUAGUGUUCAUACCUGC
rnacentral:lncRNA from 1 species